AUCAGGAUCCCCUCGAACCUCAAAACUGCCGUCCUUAAAGCUGGCGCCAAAUUUGGUGGCCAAUUCAACUCUCUGUCGUAAUCCUCCCGCCUUCAAGGCCUUGCCCAGAAGGAUUUCGUUGGUGUGGGGUCCAUAGACAUCAGAGGUGUCGAGUAAAGUGACCCCGGUGUUGACGGCAUGGUUGAUGAGGGCGAUCAUGUCCGAUUCAGGCUUUGGAGGGCCGUAGCCGAAAGACAUGCCCAUGCAUCCAAGUCCCUGUGCUGAUACUUCAAGACCCUGUGACCCCAGCUUGAUCCUUUUCAAUGUUGCCAUCUCUCUUGUUCUUAAGAACUCUAUUGUUAAUUGACACAAUGGCGAAGCAGUUGAAACGAAACCGCAAUAAAUAGAGAAAGGGUGUGCGAGCGCGCGGACGAGACUAAUAUCUAACGUCAGCACCCACGUACUGGAAGUAGCACAGGAUUGUUUGGGAAUUUGAUUUGUCGUUUUUAAAAUAUUUUUUUAUUUAAAAAUAUAUUAAAAUAAUAUUUUUAACACUCAUAUGUAAAUUCAAUCUACUUUAUCAAUAAACAAAUUCAGCUUGGAAUUAUCGCAGGAACUGAAAUUGAUGUUUCAGCUAACCGAUCCAUUAUAAGAGCAGCCGUUCACUUGAUGGAUGCAUUUCAAUUGUGAGCCGCCAACUUAAAAAAAUUAAAAAAAAUAUUUAAAAUUUUAAUAUUUCAUAUAAAAAAAUAAAAAAUAAUUUAUAUAAAUAUAAGUUAUAUAUAUUAUAAACAAUGAAGUUUAAAAUAUUAUUUGAAAAAAUUUUUUUAUUCAAAACAUAAUAUUCUUUAUAUAAAAUAGUUUAGUAAUCUCAAGUCCAAUAAUCAGUUACACAACCGUCCCAUUAAUAUUUUCUUAGAUAUAUGUGAUCAUUUUAUAUGAAAUUUUUAUGCAGAUCAGUUCAAUAUACAUGUUUUAUGACAAACACUUAUAUAUUAGUUUUAGAUUUUUCUUGUACCUUAACUUAUGAGAACAACUGUUUCCUUUCAUAAAAAAAAAAAAGAACAUAAUAUGUACAAUUCUCUACGACUCUAAUAAAUAUCUAGUGUUUAAGAGAACAUCGACCAAGAACAUUUUAAGAAUAAUGUUUUGAUGCAAUAAUAAUCUCAUAAUUAUAACAACUUUAUAAUUUUCUUUGUAAAGUAUUUUUGUCAUAUGAAUUUUAUUUUUACAGUAGAUUUAUAAAUCAUAUGUUAAAUUUAUUAAUCUAAUAUUAUAUAAAUAUUAAAUACAAAUUAACUCUUUAUUAAUAAUAAAUAUAUAUUUAUACAAAUAUAAUAAUAUUAUGUGUAAUUAGUUAAUUGACUAACUUAUCGGCAAUGGCAUGACUCUCUCUAUCUCUUCUAGACACAUUGAAAUUCCAACGCAAACGCCAUUGACAUGCAAAUGCUUAGACUAUAUUAUAUACAUAAUUCAAUUAGUGCAUGAUCACAAAUUCCGCAACUUGUUCUCCACUAUGCAUAAAGCAUAGAUUUUAAAUCCAAGUAUGGGCUGGAAGAUUUACAUGGAAAACUUGUAAUUUCAAGUUUAAUAAAAAACAAUAUUAUUGAUGUUAUAGAUAUUAUUAUUUUUAGUAUAAUUAAUGGUAUUAAUAUUAAAAAAAAUAUUAUUUUUAUUAUUUGUGUUCUAAAUAUUUUGUUUUUUAUAAUUAAACGUAUUCAUAUCAAAUAUAUUAUUAUUUGUGUUAUAAUUUUUUGUUUAUAAUUCAACAUAUUCAUAUUAAAGAUAUUAUUAUUUGUGUUAGAAAUAUUGUCGGGUUUCUAAAUAUAAUUAUCUGUGUUAUAAAUAUUAUUGUUUUUAUUAUAAUUCAACGUAUUCAUAUUAAAGAUAUUAUUAUUUGUGUUAUAUUAUUAUUAUUUUUAUUAUAAUUCAAAGUAAUAAUAUAAAAAAUAUUAUUUCUUGUAUUAUAAAUAUUCUUGGAAUUCUUAAUAUAAUUAUUUGUGUUAUAAAUAUUAUUAUUUUUAUUAUAAUUCUAAAUUAUCAUCUCUAAAAUAUGAUUAUUUGUGUUAGAAAUAUUGUUGGGUUUACAAAUAUAAUUAUUUGUGUUAUAAUUAUUAUUAUUUUUGUUAUAAUUCAAAGUAUUAAUAGAAAAUAUAUUAUUAUUAUUUGUGGUAUAAAUAUUAUUAUUUUUAUUAUAAUUCUCCUGGUUGCUGAACCAAUUGGCCUUGGGUUCUUUGUCAGGAUCUAAUUGGAUUGGGUCUGCGGUCGGACCCAUUUCUCUUGGGUCCUGUGGCCGGACCCGUUUCGCUUGGGUCUUGCCUCAGAUAUGUUAGUAUAUUAUUCUUUUAAUUUAAAAUAUUUAAAUAAUAUAUAUAUAUAUAUAUAUAUAUAUAUAUAUAUAUAUAUAUAUAUAUAUAUAUUAAAGAACUUCAAAUCCCACAUUAAAAAAAUAAUUUUUUUCUAUAAUAAAUCAAUCUAUAAUAAAAGGAUAAAAAAAUAAAAUCAUAUCAGACUUAAGUAAAGAGACUGAGAUUACCCUGUAGAAAGACAAACACAAAAGAAGAGAGAGUAGAAUAUCCAAAUACAAAACAAUCUCAAAUCCAAGAAAUGUAGACCAAAUUUAGUAUAAAAACUAAAUAAAGAAAAAUAAUUAGAGACUAAAUUCAAAAAAUAAAUAAAUUAAGAUACUGAGGGAUAUAAUUGAAAAAAAUAGAUAAAUAAAAAGAAUAAGAAAAUAGCAAUAAAAAAGAUGACCAAAAUUGGAUAAAAAAUUAAAUGCAAUAAAAUGAUUAGGGAUGAAAUUGAAAAAACUAAAAAAAUCAAGAAAAGGAUAAAACACCAAAAAAGAGUAAUCAAAUUAAUGAGGAUCAAAUUAGAUAUAAAAAUUAAAUGAUAUAAAAUUCUCAGAGAUGAAAUAAAUAAAAAACUAAAAAUACAAAAAAAUAUUAAAAGCAACACAAAUAGUAAUUAAGAGAAUGAGGGUCAAGAUUAAUAGAAAUACAAAAUAAGGAUAUUUUGUUUUUGGAUGGGCUGACAUAAAUUUUUAGGUUAGGAGAAAGAAAUUAAAGAAGGACAAAAAAAAACUUGCUAGGAGCCAACCGUGUCUCCUCCAGAAACACGCACCACACUACUAGAAAGAGAAAGAUGAGCCUCUCCUAACGCUUCCUUAUAUGGUGGAAUUUGAUAGUCGGAAAGGCCCUAUAUGCGCCUCUCGCGGGAACUGUCAUGCACUAAUGCGUCAACAAUUUUUUUUUAUAAUAAUAUUUAGUCUUUUAAAAUGACAAAACAACCUUUAGACCAACCCAAAAAUAACAAAAAAAACUAUAAGUAAAAACAAAAAAUAUCCUUGAAAUCAGAUGUAUAAGUUUUUAAUUUUAAGGGUAAUACUGUAACUUUAUUGUUCAAAAAACUGAAAAUACAAAAAAAAACCCCUAAUUUAAUGGUUAUUUUCUCUAAAAGACAUAAGUGAAGUUUUAUUGUGCAAAUAAUAAUAACAAGACAAAGUAAUUUAACAGUGCAAAAAAAAGUGUACUAACCAAUUUAUCCCAACCAAUUUUGUAAUGCCUAAUGGAUUUAUUAGAAAAGACAAUUCGACCCCUACCAGCCAUGCUUUUGGUUUGUGUGGAGAAGGGAAAAAAACAAUUUAUAUGCUAAUCCAUGAUGAAUUGUGUCACAGCUAUAAUAAAUAAAUGUUUGAUCUCUUUUUUUAUUUUAUUUUAUAAUUCACUAUUUUAAGUGCAAUAGGUGUUGUAUUCAUUUCCUUGUUAUUUUAUGUAGAAUUUCAAUUCAAUUUAUAAUGUAAGAGAAGGAAGUGUUUGCAUUAUAUCAUGAUUUUUCUUAAUUGAAAAAUGAAAAGAUAAUGUAUAAUAGAAUAAAUUGAAAAAUAUAUAUGAAUUGAUAAAUUGAAAAUGAAAAGAUAUAUAUGUUUUUAAAUUUCAUAAUGCUUUGAAGAGAUUAUUAUAAUUUAUCUACCAUUAUUUUUAUUUUUAUUUUAUGUAAGUGAGUUGUAUUUACAUGAUAUUUUUUUAAAAAAACAAAAAUAGUUUGUUAUUAGUAACAAAGAUAAAAUAAAUUAAAAAAAUUAAAAAAAUCAAUAUAAAAUAUUUAUACAUACAUCAAUCUCUUACUUUAUAAAAAAUAAAUAUACAAAACUGACAUAAAUAUAAACAAACUCAAAAUCUUAUUUUUCUCCCGCGUAUAGAAGUUCUGCUCACUCUCAACAAUUAUAAAAUUCUAACAAGACAAAGUAAUUACGAAAGACCAGCUUUCUAUAGCAAAGCAAAAACACAGAAUUAAUGGUAAAAUUAAAUUAUGGGGAAAAAACAUAUAUCUCUACAGAUGGUGUGCAAAUUUGAUAGAAACCGAUAUGCAAGAACACUUGAUGAAUACUGAAUUGUAUGUCAAUCAUGAAUGAACAAUCGUUUGGCUUUAUAUAGCCUUUACAAUACUGCAGGGUAACUAAUAACUGCUGCCCCGUGAUCCAAGGAAUCAGUUUGUUAGCUAAGAAUUGAACACUAACAAACUUACCUGACUUGACUAAUUGCCAGCUAGAUUAACUAACUAACAACUUUAACAUAUUUAGCUAACAGUAAUAGUGACAGUUAUGGAAUACUUCUCAACAUUCUUUCCUUUAAACUAAUUCUGUGUAACAAUUAGUUUACUUCAGGCAUCACACAGACUCCUAUUUGUUCUCGAAGGUCUUUAAAUGUCUGUAGUUUAACUGGUUUUGUCAGCAGGUCAAUUAUUUGAUCUUGUGAGCCACAAUGCACAAGUUCAAUGACCUUGUCUCGAGUUAAAUCACGUAAGAAAUGGAAUCUCACAUCAAUGUGUUUGCUGCGUCCAUGCAUAAUGGGGUUUCUUGAGAGCUUGAUGGUUGAACUGUUAUGUAACACCCCACCUUACUAGCAAGAUAUUGUCCGCUUUGGGCCUCUUAGUCCACCCAAAUCCAGGGCUUCCACCCUUGUCCCCCUUUCGGGUUUGUUCUUAGCAGUCACGCAUGGCCCCAAAACGCGUCUUACUAGUCAAGGUGAGCAUGCACUUAUAAGGCCCUUGCUCUGGACGCUCGCUUCUGAUGUGGGAUCUUACAAUCUCCCCACCUUAAGACGAGUCGUCCUCGGCUUUGAUACCAAAUGUAACACCCCACAUUACUAGCAAGAUAUUGUCCGCUUUGGGCCUCCCAGUCCACCCAAAUCCAGGGCUUCCACCCAGGUCCCCCUCACGGGUUUGUUCUUGGCAGCCACACAUGAACCUAAAACGCGUCUUACUAGUCAAGGUGAGCAUGCACUUAUAAGGCCUUGGCUCUGGACGCUCGCUUCCGAAGUGGGAUCUUACAUGUUAUCACACAUUAAGAUGGUGCAACCUUUUUGUUCAUGAUUUAACUUCUCCAGAAUCCUUCUCAUCCAUACUGCUUGACACGCACAAGCUGCUGUUGCCACGAAUUCUGCUUCAGUUGUUGACAGAGUAACUAUAGACUGCUUCUUUGAUGACCAUGAAACUGCUCCACUCUAGUCGAAUGUACUCUUUCUGUCUGUAAUGUCUCCUGCAUAGUCAUUAUCAGUGUAUGCAAUCAGCUGCUUGUUCUCAUUCUUCUUGUAGAAUAUACCAUAAUUGAUGGUGCCCUUCAAGUAUCUUAAUAUUCUUUUAGCAGCUUGUAGAUACACUUCUGUUGGACUAGCCAUAAACCUGCUAAUAAAACUCACCCCAAACAUGAUAUCUGGCCUUGUAGCAGUGAUAUACAUAAGACUUCCUACUAUCUGUUUAUAGUAAGUCUCAUCGAUUUUUUUUCCUUCUCCAAUUUUGUCAGUUUUGAAGCCAGGGACUAUGGGAUUCAUUACUGCCUUACUUUUUUCCAUUCCAAACCGUUUCAGAACCUCUAGUGUAUAUUUCCGUUGACAGAUAUAGAUUCCAUUAGUCUGUUGCAGUACUUCUAUGCCUAAGAAGAACCUUAUUCUUCCUAGAUCAGUCAUGUCAAAUACCCUCAUCAUUGAUUGUUUGAAUUCCAGCAUCAUCUGUUUAUCAUCUCCAGUGAAAAUCAAGUCAUUCACAUAAACACUCAUAAUAAGGAUUCUGCCUCCACUGGUUUUAACAAACAAAGUUUGUUCACUGAUGCACUUCUGAAAUCCUUCAUGGGUGAAGUAAGCUUCAAUUCGACUAAACCAAGCUCGAGGGGCUUGUUUUAGUCCAUACAAAGCUUUGUGUAAUUUGUAGACCUUGUGCUCAUUUCCUUUCUGCUCAUAUCCUUUUGGUUGUUCUACAAAUAAAUCCUUACUUAAUUCUCCAUGCAGAAAAGCCGACUUAACAUCUAAUUGAUAGAUGAGCCAACCUUUUUUAGCAGCUAGUGCAAUGAUCAGCCGAACAGUGUCCAUUCUUACCACAGGAGCAAAUACUUAUGUGUAAUCCACACCAUGUUGUUGAGCAUAACCCUUUGCAACUAACCUGGCUUUGAGCUUAUCCACUUUACCAGACUCAUUUAUCUUGGUCUUGUAUAUCCAUUUCACCCCAAUCUUCUUAGUUCCAGCUGGUAAUUCAGUUAAACUCCAUGUCUCAUUCUUCUGAAUUGACUCCAUUUCAGUAUCCAUGGCUUCCCUCCACUUGUAACUUUUUACUGCCUUUUCAUAACUCACGGGGUCAUCAGAAGUUACAAUUGCCAUAUUCAAUUCAGUUUCUUCUUCUGACAGUCCUUCACCAGAGACAUAGUCUCUCAUCCAACUGGGCAUAAUUGUCUCCCUCCUUGUAUGCAGAUUGACAUCUUCUUCAUAUAUUGUGUUGGCAGGAGCAUUGCUGGAUUCUUCAAUGCCAUCCCAAUUUGACUCUGCACCUGAGUUUGCAAUAUUAUGCCCAAUUACCUCUGCAUCUCCACUACUGUUUGCUUCAUCUCCAUCAAUUUCACCUUCUUCUCCCCAUUCUAAGUUCAUUUGUAACUCCUCUUUAUAACUGACAUCCCAGUCCCAGUGUUUCUCUUCUUCAAAGAUUAUGUCCCUGCUAGUUAUAAUUUUCUUUGUUACAGGGUCAUACAAUCUAUAGCCUUUUGAUUCUUCGCUUACUCCCAACAGUAUACAGCGUACACUCUUGUUUUCCAGUUUGGUUCAUCUUACAUUUGGUAUAUGCACAUGAGCUACACAUCCAAACACUCUAAAGUGUUUAACUGAGGGCUUCUUUCCAGUCCACACUUCUUCUGGAGUCAUGUCUUUUACAACAUUAGUAGGGCAUCUGUUCAAUACAUAUAUGAUCCAGUUUACUGCCUCAACCCAGAAGCUUUUAGGAAUCUUCUUUUCUGAAAGCAUUGAUCUUACCAAGUUCAUUACUAUACUAUUCUUCCUCUCAGCCACUCCAUUUUGUUGAGGGGUGUAGGCUGUAGUUAGCUGUCUUUUGAUGCCAUUCUGCUUACAAAACUCAUUGAAUUCCAGUGAGUUGAAUUUACCACCUCUAUCUGUUCUUAUACACUUGAUGUAUUGUCCAGUUUCUUUUUCAACAAGCUUCUUAAAGUACUGGAAAUGCUGGAGAGCUUCUGAUUUUUCUGCUAGGAAAUAAACCCAGGCCUUUCUGCUAUAGUCAUCAAUGAGACAUAAGAAAUACCUUUUCUUGCUGUUUGAGGUUGGUGUGAUUGGGCCACAUAUGUCUGCAUGGAUGAGUUGUAACCUUUGUGAUGCACGUCAUUGACUCUUCUUUGGAAAAGAUUCUCUGUGCUGCUUGCCAGUAAUACAAGCAGUGCAUUCUGUAGUUGAUGCAGGGAGCUGUGGUAGUCCUCGAACCAUCUUCUUAUAUUGCAAGGUUCUUAGUCCUUUGUGGCUGAGAUGGCCAUAUCUGCAAUACCAUAAAUAUGACACAUCUUGUGCAUGUGUAUGGAAACAAGAAACAUCUUUGACUUGAGCCUUUGCUAUUAGCAUAAACAUCUUGUUGACUGUCAUUCUGGUUUGAAUGAUCAGGCCUCUCAUAGGAUGAUAAAUCUUGCAUAUUCCUGAUUUGAUAAGGAUUGCCAGACCCUUUUCUUGUAGCUGGCCUAUGCUUUAGGAGGUUAUUCUUUAGUUUAGGUACAUAGAAUACAUCAGUAACCAUGUACUGCAUGCCAUCCAAAAACAACUUGACUUUUCCUUUUCCAAGAACUGUCAUUCGUGUAUUAUUCCCAAGCUUUACCAGUUGUCUAAAUUCUUCAUUUAAUUCAUAGAGCAUAUCCUUGUCUCCACACAUAUGGUUUGAGCAGCCAGAGUCCAAAAACCAUGCAUCCUCUCGAUUGUUGUCAUACAAUUCCACAUGAGACAUCAAUAGAAUUUCUUCUUCAUUGUUCAGUUCUGCAUAAUUUGCCUCCUUGCUCAUUGUGGGACAUUCAUACUGAAAAUGGCCAAGUUUGUGACAUCUAUAACAUUCAACAGUGGUUUUGUCAAAGGUAUAUUGUUCUCUACCUCUUCCUCCUUUUCUGAAAGCUCGUCUGCCUUGUCCUCUGCCAUAUAACCUUUCUUCAGAUGUCACCUUCAAAGCUUGUUCUACCAUGCUGUGUUUCUGAAAUUUUUGUUCAUGUACAAUCAAUGAGCUUCGUAACUCAUCAAUUGAGAGAACAUCAAUGUCUCUAGAUUCUUCAAUUGAGCAUACUAUGUAAUUGAAUCUGUCAGUCAAGGAUCGAAGAAUCUUCUCCACAAUCGUUACAUCUCGCAUUUGCUCCCUAGAGGUUCUUAUUUUGCUGGCUACAGUCAUAACCUUUGCAAAAUAGUCAGUGAUAUUCUCACCUGUUUUCAUCUCUAGUGUUUCAAACUCCUUCCUUAGUGUUUGAAGGAUUGAACGCUUCACUCUUGCAUUUCCUUCAUAUUUCCUUCAUAUUUCCUUUUCAUUGAGUCCCAAAUUUGUUUAGAGGUGUUCUUCUCCAGAAUAGUUUCAAGUAUGGUUCUGUCAAUGGCCUGAAAUAGGUAGUUCUUCACUUUCAGAUCUUUGAGUUUUAACUCCUCUAAUUUGUUUUGUUGUGUUUCAGUCACACCUACUCCUUCCUCUGGCUCUAUGUAGCCAGUUUCAACCAAGAUCCAGAAUUCCUUGGAUCUCAAGAAAUUCUCCAUUAGCAUGCUCCAGUGAUAGAAAUGACCAUCAAAGCACGACAUGGAUGGUUGUAUAAAAUUGAUGUUAUUGUCAUUCGCCAUCUCUCAGUUUGACUCUCUUUUGUUUUGUAGAUUUCAACAGAAAAACAAAAUCAACUGCAACUUUCUUUUCCUCUCCCUGUAGCUUUCUCUUUCUCUUCCUUUGUUUUGCUCUGAUACCAAUUUGAUAGAAACCGAUAUGCAAGAACACUUGAUGAAUACUGAAUUGUAUGUCAAUCAUGAAUGAACAAUCAUUUGACUUUAUAUAGCCUUUACAAUACUGCAGGGUAACUAAUAACUGCUGCCCCGUGAUCCAAGGAAUCAGUUUGUUAGCUAAGAAUUGAACACUAACAAACUUACUUGACUUAACUAACUGCCAGCUAGAUUAACUAACAAACAACUUCAACAGAUUUAGCUAACAGUAAUAGUGACAGUUAUGGAAUACUUCUCAACAAAAUUAACUCCCACAAUCUUAGAGCACCUGCAAAGGUAACUGAAAUCUACAAGUGCCAGCAAGAUAACAGACAUGACAACAUUCUUUUAUAUAGCUUUCCAUGAUGAAAGAGGUGGAGUGUCUGAAUUCCUGUAUGUAAGCAUGAAAACCUCGUACCUAUCACCCUGAACAACACCUGCAGAAGCGAUGGAUUCGAGUUCCGCCAUUUCAUCUGGUGUUAUUUCACGUUGCCUGUUAUGCUCCAGAUUUUCUGGACGGAACCUAGGCAGAUCCUGAGACAAUUAAUGCAACACAAUUUCAGAAGCUAAGCUUCAGAAAACUCAUCAAAAAGGAAAUCAUCGUAGGUGUAAAGUUUAUGCAAGGCGUUCCAUAUGCACUUGUGACAUUCCUUUUCUAACUAUAAGGUCUUAUGCUACGACAACUGGUUAUUUACUGCGCAAGUACUAGUCGGAAACUUAAUUUUCACAAAGAAGCGUACCGACCUUUCAAAUGUCACCCUCUGAAAAGCUCUUAACCAGCUUAGGCCCCGAUGAAAGGAAUCCCCGUCCUAGGGGACUGUAGGCAACAAUCCCAAUGCCAAGUUCUCUUAUAAAUUAGAAUGAUAAAUUUCAUGGCAUGCAAGGCGGAAUGACGGGUUUUUCUCUAAAUAGAAGAGGUUUUGAAUUUGAUCAUAAAUUGUGAUUUUGAAGGAGUUGUUGUCUGUUAUUAUUUUACUAAAAAACUUAUUGGUUUGCGAGAGUUUAAGUAAGAGGACCAGUUGUAUAAGAAAAAGACACAUCAAUCCAGUGCACCUUAUCUAUGGUAAGUUACAUUAUUAAUUGAUUGUUAUUUUAAAUCAUGUUUCUAUUUGUUGGUCUCAUCUAAGGUUCGAGGUAAAUCUUCUUUCAUGAGAAAGUCUCUAUCCUAUCGGGUUAAAUCCUAACCAUUUUAGUAUCACAUUUAUUUUUUACUUUGUAUCUUUAAUAUCUCAGUAUAUACUUUACAAUGUAAUUUUAUACCCUUAAAUAAUAAAAUCUAGAACUAAUUUCUAAUGUUUAUUGCUAUUAACUCAUUUAAUUUAAUAUUGGAAGCAUGCAUUACGUUGUAAAAUUCAUAUUCUGAAUAUUAAUUAAACAAAUUACUUUUUGUGGUAUUUUUGAGAUUUUGACUAAAUCUUAAUGAACAAUCAUAAAUCGAUUACAAUAUUUAUCUUGUAUUUUUAAAACAUGAUAAAAAUAUAAUUUUUUUUGAAAAUAUAUGUGAAAAGAUUUUUAGAAUUUGGCCAUAUGCACGUGAACAAAACAUAUAUAUUUUUUUAUUUUUGAAAGGAGGAUGUUUUUGAAUUUUUGGAGCAAAAUUAGGUAUUUUUAAUACGAGUCAGUAUCAUACAGUGUAAGUCUAUAACCUGAUAUUAGAUAAAAUUAUUGAAAAAACACACGAGAGACCCAUAAAUAAUUUUAAAAUGAUCCUUGAAUUGUUUCCUACUUUUCCGAACUAGUUUAGGGCAUGUUUGACUAAAUACUAUAAUAAGGACACGAUAAAGAUAAAGCUAAGUUAAAGGAAAUGGUAGGAGGACGUGUUUGCUAAACGUGUCCUUAUCCUAAAAUCAAAGGCAUUGAAAAUACUUUAAGGCUGUGUUUGACAAACAUGUCUUAAAAAAAGGCAUUUUUCCUUUGGUAAAAAUAGGGCAUGCUAAACACACAUUUAAGGUUGGGUUGAGUUUGGCCCAACCACAUGGGCUGGGCUUAUUGGACUCGAGGCCGAAGCUUAACCCGAUUUUGGGCCAACAGACGGCCCAACAAGCUUCUUCUCCUUUUUGUAUAUAUAUGGACUGGACCCAGCCCAGUCGCGCAGGCUAGGCUUGGAUUUGGCCCAUUCAGCUUUGUUAGUGGUCCAACCCAGUGACAUUACCUUCACUAGCAAAUGCAAACAACAUAACGUGAAUUAUUUCACAUUUUGCAUGCACAAAAAGAUGUACUAUAUGUUUUAAAAGGACGAAGAACUCAAGCGAUUCCCAUGAACAAAAACCAUUUUGAUGCUAGUUUAAAACAAACAUAUUUUAAAAAGAACUUGGGUGAUUCCCAUAGAUAAGGUUUCUUGAAGGUUGACUUUCUCUAUGGUAUUGAAGCGUUCAUUUUACUUGUAUGAAUAAUAAAGCAUAAUCAAAGUUUCUUGAAAAGCUUAUUUCACAUGGGAAAGCAUCGUUUACCAAUCCAGAUUGCUUGCCUUUGAUUAAAAAAAGCUUUAUUGGGCAUGCAACGUAGGAUUUGGCUUUUGGUAAUGAAAGAAAAGGAUAUUUGUAGGCUUAAAAGGUGUUUAAGAGAUCUUAAGAUCAAUGAUCACUAAAUCUCGUUUCCAAACCUUACUUUUUGGUCAAAUGAUUCCUAGAUUUUAGGGUUGACUUUGCAAAAUAGUUUAGCAUGCCCCCAAUGUUUAGACUAUUUGACUUUGAGUGUCAUCAUCAUACUAAUUAUUUUCAUUUUGCAUGGCAUGCUCAACCUUUUUGAAUCUUUGAAUUUCUUCAUGCUCUUGCUUUGUUUGGGCACCUUUGAUAAUUGAGGAUUAUUUUGUAUAUUCUUGCGGUCAAAUUGCUUUUCUAAUCUUGGUACGUUCCCCCAAUAUGGGGUAUGAUCCUAGUCAUUGUUGUUUUGCAAGAAAGACUUACUAGGCUCAAUGAGGACUUGCAAAUGAUAUUUUUUAAAAGUAUUGUGAAAGAAUUAUAAAAAAUGACAUUCUCCCAUUUCAAACAUAUGAGUUUAGGAUUAGUAAGCUUUGCUUUCUUUCAUUGUGAUUGUUUGGUCAUGCAAAAUUGUUUUCAUCAUAAUUAAAUUAUGAUUGUUAUUCAGCCAACUAAAACUCAGCUUCAAAGUCAUUUAAAUGGUUUGGUUACCUCACUAGGAGAUCACUUGAACUCGCAAAACUCACUUGUAAAAAGCGAACACUAAUUUGACCUCUGUAUUUGUACUAAUAACUUUGAUUUUCCAAAAAAUAUUUUAUAAAAACACAAAAAAUAAGGUUUUUUGAGCAUAUGAGAUCAUGUAAAGCUUUUUAAAGUUUACAAAAAGAAAGUGCACCAAAACAUUCCUGGCCAAACUUUGAUCUUUAUUGAUAUAUCAAUAAAGUACAUCAUGCAUAAUACUUCUUUAUAAUGUUAGAGUUUACAGGGUUAGGUAAAUCAUCUUCGUCCAUCUUGUUCAAAACCAAGGCUUCUCUAGGAAAGGCUUUAUUCACCACAUAUAGUCCUUCAUAUUUCGAUGCUUAUUUGCUCUGAUCUUCUCCUGAUGUUGGCAAGAUCUUUUUCAAUACUUGGUCUCCUUCUUUGAAUACCCUUGUUCUGACUCUCUUGUUGCAUGCCUUAACCAUUCUACUCUGGUAUAGUUAAUGAUGACAAAUUACUACCAAUCUUUUCUUGUUGAUCAAACUCUACUACUCAAAUUUCAAAUUUGCAUAUUCUGAUUCUUCUAGUUUUGCAUCAUUUAGAACCCAUAAUGAUAGAAUUUCCACUUUUAAAGGUAUCAUCGCUUUCAUCCCAUAUACCAAAAAGUAAAGGGUUGCACCUGUAGAAGUUCUAACUGUGGUGUAAUAUGAGUAAAGUACGUAUGGAAGCAUCUCGUGUUAGUUGUUGUAGGUUACUAUCAUUUUCUGGAUGAUCUUUUUAAGAUUUUUGUUGGCUGCCUCGACAUCACCAUUCAUCUUGGGUAUGUAAAGAGAAGAAUUAAAGUGCUUAAUCUUACACUUGGUGUAGAGUUUAACAAUUAUCUUCUCAUUAAAAUUUUGAGCAUUAUCAGCUAACAAUUUUGCUAGCAUGCCAUACCGACAAAUCAAAUCUUUCUUGAUGAAUCUCUUGACCAUUUUUUAUGUCACAUAUGCAUAAGAGUUGGUUUCUAUGCCCAUUGAUGGCAUUCAAAUUGAUUGGUUCUAUGACAUCUAAUCUCUAUAUAUUGAAAGGCCAAGGUGAGGUCAUGUUGAAUAGGGGUGCCGAAGGUGUAUUUAUAUUAUCCCUAUAUAUCUUACACUUAUGAAAUUUUGUAAUAUAGUUAACACAAUCACUUUUCAUAGUCAAUCAGAAGUAUCUAAAUCACUGCAUUUGUCUUAUCAUUGUAUGCCUAUUAACAUGAGUAACACAAAUUCCCUCAUGAACCUCUUGUAAAGCUUGCUCAACCUAUUUCUCAUUCAAACACUUAAGUAAAGUCCCGUUGAAUGACCUUCUAUAUAAGAUUUCACAAUCCAAGUUAUAAUCCAUGGUCAUCCUUCUCAAAGUCUUUUCAUCCAUCUUGGAGGCUCUUAGAGGAUAUUCUUGAUGCUGGAUAACCUCAUGAUAUCAUUGUACCAUGGUUUUUAAUUUGUUGUCUCUUCAAGUGAGCAAUAAUGAGCUUGAAAAUUUUUGACUUCGAUGUUUAUUGAUUGAAUCUUGCCCCCAAUAUUAAUAUGUGUCAUUAAAGUUAAGGUGGCCAAGGCAUCGACAAACUGAUUCUUAUAUCUGCUCAUAUGAGUGAAUUUUAUCUCAUCAAACUUAUUAGCCAACGUCAAAAGAUAAUCUUGGUAUGACCUUAGUUUCAUCCUUAGUUUGCCAUUCCCCCUUCACUUAGUAGAUAAUUAGUAGUGAAUCUUCAUGAAUAUCUAGUUUUCCAAUUUUUAGCUCUAAAACAGCUUUUAGACUGAUGAUGCAAGUUUUAUAUUCAUCCAUGUUAUUGGUGCAUUCAAACUACAACCUCAUCAAAACAUGGUAUAACUUCUUUUAUGGAGAAAUUAUCACUACUCUAGCCCAUUUCUCUAAUAUAUUCAUUACUCCAUCAAAAUACACGGUUCACCAAUUGUUCAACUCAUCAUCAUCCUCAAUUGCUCAUACAUGCUCAUCAUAAAAUUCAAAAUCUAGUGACUCAUAGUCUUCCACAACAUUAUCUGUAAAAUGGUCAAUAAUUGCACUUCCCUUUUUCAUAACCUAAAUUUGGAUUUCCCCAAAAAUUACCAUUUUAUUUUAAAAUAAAAAGCAACUAAAAAUUAAAAAUUAAAAAUUAAAAAGAUUAGCAACUUGGCAAAAGCAAGCUGAAAAGGGUUUCAAAUGCAUGAAGAAACCAAGCUGAAGUUUUAGACAAAAUCGAAAGCAUAAUUGUACCCAAUUAUACCCAAUACUAGAUGAGAAUGCAAAUUCAAGGUCAAAUUAAAUGAUUAUUGGAUGAAUUAGAAUAAAAAUUAAGUCUAAGGAUUUAAUUAGACUAUUAAUAGGCUAAUUUGAUUUAAUCAUAUGCCCAAUUAAAUGAUUAAUUAAGUUUAAGAAUUAAUUUUGAUCAAAUUAAAAGAAUUAAUAAAGUGCAAAUACUUAAUUAGACUCUUAAUGGGUUAAAUUAAUUUUACUAGGGACUUAAUUUGACAAACGUUAACUUUGGAAGCCUAAUCUAGGCUUAAUUGAGAAGAUUGAAAUUUUAGAGGAUGAAAUUUAAUUUUUACUAGCUCAAUCGGCCAAAAUUAGGAACAAAAUUGCAAGAAAAUUAAAGUUUGGAGGUCAAAUUGAAGAAUUUUAAAAAUCAAGGACCACUUUAUAAAAAACGUAAAAAUUUGAGGGUCCAAUUGAUGAAGGCCAAGGGUAAAAUUGCAAGGAAUCCAAAAGAUUAGGGCUGAUUGGGGGUUUAAUCACAAAGUUCCAAAGGCUUAAGGACCAAAUUGAAAAAUACAUUAUUUCACUAUUCAUCAUCUUUUCCCCAUUUAAACAAGAGAAAAAAGAUGCCAAGUGCCCACCUUUCAACCCUAAUUUCUCCCUCACAUUUCACCAUACCACACAAAUCUUAUACCAACUUAUACCUUAGUAUUUUUACUUUACUCUAAGCCAAAAUUCCAGGUCCAAUGGUACCAAAAACACUUGCAAAUUUUCUACAAAAACAUUAUCCAACACUGUUCUGCUUGUAAAAAUAGCCUUGUAUUCUUUCUUUGUCAGUUGCAGAGUAGGACAAGCUUUUUGUCCAUACCAUGAAAUAUUAUUCCAUCUCAUACCUUGGAAGUUUUGAUUCACUCAAAGUCAAAAUUCCACCUCUAAUAACAUCAAAACCACCUGUAGAUUCUCUCCUAAAAAAGCUACCUAGGAUUAUUCUAUCUGUAAAAAUAGCCUUGGUCCCCCUAUUGUUAGUUGCAGUUCAGGACAAACUUUUGUUCUUAGCUGCAAUAAAUAGCUGAGAUCUAUUCUCUAACAUCAAGGGUCAAUAUCCUAUUAAUGCAUGAACCAUAAAACCUCUUUGUUUCUCCCAUAGAAACCCUCUCAUACUCUCUUUCCAUUGGCAAUAAAUUUACUCACAAGUUCACGAAUGGAAAUGCUCUGUCGCUAAAACUCUCGUCAAUAAUUUUUGGUAUGUUGGUGAGUCUAUCGGUAAUAAAAUGAUGGAUUUACUGAUGGAAAAGGCACGCAAAAAAAAAUACCCACUUCAUUCUGUCAGUAUUUCCCUAAAGAAUUUUGCCAUAUAACCGACAUAAAUACUGUAUGUAAUUCUAUCGGUGAUUAAACAAUGACACAAUGACAUUUGCAGUAAUUCUUUUCUAACUUUCUGGAAUAUACCAACAGAUGUAAUCCAUUGGUAAUACUAUCUAUCUUUAUUUAAAAAUAUUUUUUUAAAAAUCUAUUUAAUAGAAGCAAAGAAUAAUUAAAAUAAAUUAAAAUAAUAUAAAUCAACACUCGAUAAUACUUAGGAACUAAGUUGCAAGGAAAAAAGAAGAAGAAGAAAAUCAACUCAAACAAAUUUGCAACAAAUAAAUAACAUAAAAAAAAAACAACAACAACAAAUAAAUAAAUCAAUGAAAAAAAUCCACCUAACCUAGAAAACCUAUUUCAGAACCCAUAAUCCAGUAACAAAUAAAUUAAUUUAAUUAAAAUUGAACAAAUUUGAAAAACAAAAUCCAACUAAAAUCUAAUAAAAUUGAUCUUAUAUGAAAAUAAUCCUACAACAACAUUCAACAAUUAUUAAGAAUAGAAAAAAUUUAAAAAUAAAAAAAUAAAUAUAAUGUAAAAAAGCACAAAAAAGAAAAGGAAAAAAAAAGAAAAUUCUUACCUUAAUUUAAUUGCGAAUGAGGCUGAGAAGAGAAAAGAAAAAAAAUAAAUUUAUAAAGUAUGUUAAUUAAAAAAAACUAACAAGAGAAAAGAAGAAAGAGAAGAGAAGACAUUCAUGCGCAUGGAGGAGAAGAGAAAAGAAGAGGAGUUGAAGAUAGAAGAGAAAGAAAGAAAGGGACGUUGGUGUUUUUUAUAUAAAAAGAGGAGAAGAAGAAGAAUAAGAUAAAGAAAAAGAAAAAGAAAAAGAAGAUGAAGAUGAAGAAGAGGCAUGCUUAUUAUGAAAUGAGAGAUUAUGGUUUUUUUACUAGGGCAUUUUACCAAUGAUUUUACCGAUAUAUAAUUAAAUAUUAAUGUUUUUAAUUAUUUUAUUAGUGAUUUCAUCUAUAAUAUUUAAUUUAAAUCUUCAAUUUAAUCAAAAAUUUUCGGAAACCCUAAAAAAAUCAUCAACAACUUUUCAAUUCAUCAGUGAUUCUGUCUGUAAUUUUUAAUUCACAUUUUCAAUUUAAUAAAUUUUUCUUAGAAACCCUCCAAAUGUCACUGACGACCUUUGAAUCCAUCAGUGAUACCAUCUGUAAUAUUUAAUUUGAUAAAAAAAAUUUCAGAACCCUCCAAAUAUUACCGACAACUUUUCAAUCCGUAUGUGAUCCAUUCUAUAAAGAACAAUAAUUAACAGUGAAAUUAAAAAAUAAACAAUUCUAGAACUCUAUGGAAAAUACCAACAGAAUUAAUCCGUUGGUGAUUAUGUAUUUAAUUAACACAAUGAAUAGUGUCAAGGAGAAGGGAACAAUUUCAAAGCUCUCAUGAACAUUUUACCGACAGGUAUACAGACAGAUUUUACCAAUGGUAUUAAUACCGACAAGUAUACGGACAUAUUUUACCAAUGGUAUUAAUACCGUUGAUAUAAAUAACACGUCAUCGUACUUUUUUUCUUUUUUUAAUCCCUUUUUUUCCCAUUUUAAUUCCCCUAGUAUAUAUCAAAGGAAUAUUUAUGUCGGUGUUUUCCGAUGGAUAUAACAAGGGAAUAUGUUGUUGGUAGAAUUCAAUGCAAUUUACCGACAAAAACAUUCUGUCGGCGUUGCCAUUUGUAUUUGCCAAUUUUUUGGUAGUGAAAGGGAAAUAAUGCUUGCAAUUGAAGGCUCCAUGGUGGCAAGAUUCACGAUAGCAGCAACAGGGGAAGGUUGUACGACAAUAGCAACAUGAGAAGAUUCCAAAGCAGAGGGAGAAGAAAAAGACUAAGGAUUCACGACAGCAGCAGGACAAGCUUUCUAAGCAGAGGGAGAAGAAAAAAAAAUUCUACACCAUAGGUUGAGAUGAAAAGUCCAUUAAAGAGAAGAAAAGAAAGUUUUAAAGUGUAAUGACUCUAAUAUCAACUUGAGAAUAAUAUGAGGUUUAAUCUAUUAGUUAGCCAACCUUUCUUAUUUAUAUAUGUAAGGCAAUGUACAAUAGUUAAUGUAGAGAUUACAACACAAGAAUACUAAAACUUUCCUAAAUAUAUUUAUACAAGCCUUUCAUAUAUCAUAUACUAUAUUAUUAGAUUACACAAACAUUUAUUCUCUUUCUUAAGGCUGAGAUGCAAUUCAUUAGGCUAAGCUCCAAUAUGAAAUCCAUUGCUUUUUCCAUCGAUCAAUAACUAGCUUUAAAUGGGUUUUUUUCUCUCGUUUUCAAACCAAUUUGUCAUCACCUAGUUUUUGAACCCUAGUUUUCAUCAUUUUCCAAAAAAUAAAAAAAAUAAAAUACAAAACUCACAAAAAACAUGUUUUCAACGCGAUUAGACCAAUGAACAACUAUUUCAUAAUUUUCAACCUUUUUGCAUAUUGUUUUUGUGUUCGCAAGUUUAAAAAAUAAUAAAUAAUAUUUAAAGUCUUGUGGGUUUGUGCUUGUUGCGCGACAACCCUGAUGGUAUGAUGUCAUCAUGGAAUUUAUUUUUAUGGUGAAAUAAGGUUGAAAAUUAAUACCCCGCAAUGAGGUUGGAAGGAUUGGAUCGCAAAAGCUUUAUCUGAUGCAUAAUAGUUUGGUCUCGAUGUGGAUUUUAAUAUAAGUUUGAUUUUCUUAUGAGUUUUAAUGUGCACUGAUCUGUUUGUUAAAUUAUGAUUUUUGGUGAUGUUAUUUUUAAAUUGUGAAUUUUAUUAUGUGUUGACAUUUUUUUUUGUGAAAUUUGUAUGUGCAUGCCUGAUUUUCAUUAUGUUUAAUUUUUUUCAUGAUGAAUUUUUUGAAAGUGUUUUCACAUAAAAAGCUAAAAAAACAUAAAAAUCUAUGAAUAUAAAAAAAAUGACAUGUUCUUUUUAUUUUUUUAUUUGUGUAUUUAGAAUAGACAAACUUUAGCAUGUAAGAACAUUAAACACAUUUUAUCAUUGAAAAUAAACAACAAUGUAUCUUACCUUAAAUAUGAUAUAUAAGGUGAUGUCAGCCCCUCACCUAGAACCUCUAAGACUAAUUAGGGUUUCUAGUUACUAUAAAACUAGGUGGUAACCCCUUUUCAUCUUUUGUUUUUACCCUUUUAACAUGUAGCUCGCCUCGAUGUCCCCUUCAACACCACUAAUCCAAACCCACCAAAGCACUAAACUUUUGUACUUUCCAAGACCCCAUUUUAGUACUCAUUUCACUAGAGCUAGAAUUUUCAAGUUCCCUUAAAAGGGGUAUUUUUUGUUCAUCCUGAUAACCAAAACCCAAAACUUGAUUUGACUGAAAAUGAAUCCAACCCCAUAAAGGAAAUAAUUUUGUUCUUUAUCCUCUUUUAUGUUUUUACUUAUAGUAAAUUAAAUCUAGCCUCCAAGAAGAAUCCAAAGACUAAAGAACCCUAAUUCAAUAAAAACUCAGCUUCUCAUUCUCCAAAAAUAGGUUUUGCCGCAAUGGAUCUGGAUGAAACGAAUACGAGAAUCUAGCAACAGGAAGAGAUAACCACGGUAAACCAUGAAAUCAUAUGAGAAAAAGCGAUUACAAUCACUGGUUUUUUUUGUUCGAUUUGGGUUUAGAAGGAGGGAGAAAUUGAUUUUUCAAUGAGAAGUUUUUUAGUUUAUUGAUGAGAAAGAAGAAGUUAUCUAUCAUUUGAGUUGAUUUUUAAUAUAAUAUAGAUGGGGUAUUUUGUUAUUUCUGUUGAAUUUAGAAUUUUCUUUGACAUGUGAUGGAAAUUGUAAUUUUUCAAAACUUGGUAAGUGGAAUUUUGACCAAACUAUAGGAUGGUAAGGGUAAUUUUUCAUUUAAUAUUUUAAGACUUGAGGGCUCUUUAGUCAUUAAUUAUAAUAUAAUGACAAUCUCGUAAAUAAUUUAAACUGUUUUGUUAAUUUUUUUUAACGAAGAUGUAAAGUAUUGUACAACUUUAAAAAUUAUUGACUCUGGAUGUAAACUGUAAUUUUUAAAAGAAUGGAGAUAAAGUAAAAAAAUAAUUAAACUAUAAAUAAAAAAUCACACUUAGCAUCCUAAUAUCUGGCAUGAAUUGCAAUUAGGAAAUUUGAUGAAAUGACCAUAUUGUCUUUAUAUAUAUUGAAAUGAACCUUUAUAUAUAUAUAUAUAAAUGAAAACUAACCAAACAACAUAUGAGUAGCUUUGUUACCUUUUCUCUUAGACCAAAUCACCCCCACUCUCUCUCAAUUGCAUUUUUCUCUCGUCUUCUGAAUGAAAUUCAUAUCCAAAUCAAUGAAUUUUGUCUAAUUUGAGUUCAUCAAUAACCAUUUAUUUUUCAAAAAAUCCUAAUGGUUACUUGGUGGCAUUUUUAUUAUUUUUGAAUUUCAAUGGCUCUUUAGUCAUUAAAUAAAUCAUAAUAGUAAACCUAUAAAUAAUUAGAUAUGUUUUAUUGAUAUUUUUUUUAAAAAAAGAUAUUAAGUGUUAGCACAUCUAUAAAUUUAAUCACAAUUCAAACCGAUCCUCGUAAUGUCAAAGAUAAUUUUCAAUUAUAGAAAGAUAAUAUCAAAGAUAUUUUUCAAUUUAAUCACAAUUAUUUUUCUCUAAAAAUAUUUUUUCUCGGUUGAAAAUACAAGAUGAGGUUUGUUUUUAUCCUUAUGUGAUAUGGAUAUCACGUUGGAAGUUAAAAGACACAUGUCAAAACUUGCAUUCACUCAUGCGAAAACCAAUAGGGAAGGUGACCCAUACAAACCACAUGUACCAAUAAUAUAUAAAUCUUGCUUUACAUAUGAAAGUAAUAUUGGAUUUCUGAAUGUUAUACACGCAACAAAAAUAAUAAAAUAAAAUUACCCAAGAGUUCUAUUUAUUUUAGAUAGAUCUAGAGUUAUUUAGAAAUUUAUUACCUGAAGAUUUAAUCUUCUUCGACUUUCAAUAAUUCUUUAAAAAAGAUUGUCGCAAACCACAAGUCGUUCAAUUGUUCAGCCUCUAAUGAUAAUCCACACGAACCAUUAGUGAAAAAUCUUUCAAAUUCCUAUUUAGAAGAGAGAGAUUGUUAUGCCUAGAGUGCUAGCUCUCUGUUAUGUGACUUACAUAGUUUUUCUGUCUAAUAGACAACCACUCCUUAAAAAAAUAAGAGGCACAAUAUAUUAUUUAUAAAAAAUAUGAAAAACCCUAUAACUUGGUAAGUAUCAAUUUACCCCUUAAAUAAUAUCUAUAUAUUAUUUAAGGAUAAUUUUAAAAAUUUAAUCAAUCAAGUCUCUACUUGAUUAUUUUCGGACUAUAAUUAUAAUCCCUGAAAUAAAUACAUUUCAAUGCUUAAUUUCUAAAAUUAUUUUCAAUCAAGUCACACUUGAUUAAUUAUCUUAGUUUAAUUUCUAACUAAUAGUUCUUAAUAUGUGUGACUCGUUAUGUUCUUAAUUUCUAAGUCUUUUCAAAUCUCAUUCCACCUUGACCAAUGAUUUCUCAGUUAAUACUAUUUGAUAACAGAUAAAAUAUUUUCUCCAAUUCUCCUAGGAUUAUGAAUUCUCUCUUGAUCACUCAAAUACCUUCAUAUAGUUCAUGUUAUACCUAAUGUUUUCCAUUUCAUCUCCUUGAUUAAGAUAACAUGUAAUGACAUCAAAGCAUAACAUCUUUUAUAUAAGAUAACUUAGUGUCUCAAGUGUAAGGAUCACUUACACAACCGAUAUGUGAGCCUUUCUAUAGACAUAUAUGAUCUCUUCAUAUAAAAUCCUCAUGCAGGUCAAGUUAGUAUAUAUAUCCUAUGAUAAACACUCACAUAUUAGUUCUAGAUAUCCCUUAUAUCUCAGCUUAUGAGAACAACCACUUCCUUUCACACAAAAAAGAACAUAAUAUGUACUAGUCUCUACGACUCUAAUAAAUGUUCAAUAUUUAAGAGAGUAUCGACCAUAAACAUUUUAAGAUCAAUGCUUUGAUGCAAUAGUAAUCUCAUAAUUAUAACAACUUUAUAAUUUUAUUUGUAAAACAUUUUUUUUACUAUAAACAUUAUCUUUACUCUAGAUUCAUAAAUUAAAUAUUAGAUUUAUUAAUCUAAUAUUAUAUAAAUAUUAAUGAUAAAUUAACUUUUUAUUAAUAACAAAUAUAUAUUUACACAAAUAUAAUAAUAAAACUACUAUAUAACUACAUAGUAUAUUAAACUAAUUAACAAGUCAAGGCAAUGACAUGACUCUCUUUUGGAUACAAAUUGAAAUCCCAACGCAAACAGCCAUUGACAUGCAAAUGCUAGACUAUAUACAACCUUCAAUUAGGGCAUGAUCACAAACCCCGCGACUUGUUUUCCACUAUGCAUAAAGCAUAGAUAUUAAAUCAAAGUAGGGAUUGGAAGAUUUACAUGGAAAACUUGGAAUUUCGAGUUUAACCAGAGCCAAGUUUUUAGCAUAAAAUAUAGUAGUUAAAUCCGACUAGAUUUUUAAUGAUCCACUUAAUCUCGUUUUAUAAAUGGUAUCCCUGAGUUCACAUGUUCUUUAUCUCCAACUUGGAAUGGCAUUGUUUCGACGAUCUUCUCAACACAAAACAUAUCCAAUCUUUUACAUGCAAAUGUCGGGUUCAAGGUGGGUGAUGGGAGGAACAUCCGGUUUUGGACUGACUCUUGGCUUGGCUCUACAACCACUCUCCAACUCUUAUUCCCCAGACUGUAUAACCUCUCCCUGCAGCAACAAUCCAGCCUUGCAGAUAUAUGUGAUUUGACAGAUACAUCUUUCAACCUAUCCUGGAGAAGACCCCUCCGGCCUCGUGAAAACUGCAUGAGGGAGAGCUUGAUCGCAGAGGUGCAGCGUGGUCUCAUUUUCUCAGAUGGUGCAAACCGCAAGGUAUGGAAAUUUCACAGCUCUGGCAUGUACUAAGCUCAAUCAGGUUGCGCUCUUUUUGAUAGUCUAUCGGUAACUGAAAAUAAUCACUCCCCUGUUCUGCUAUGGAAUGGUUAUGCUCCUCCAAAAGUGGAUGUGUUCAUAUGGCUUCUUCUUCAUGGCAGUUUGAGUACACGGAUUUUUUUAGCUGAGAGGAGAAUCAUUAAUUAUGAGGAAUCUCACUACCCAUUCUGCUGCAAGGAAAUUGAGACAAUUAAUCAUCUCUUCCAUUGGUGUCCUAUAACAUGGUCUCUUUGGGGUCGUUUCUUGAACUGGUUUGGGUGCUUAGGUUGUUUGCACAAAGACCCAUAUCAACAUCUACAGGAAUGGUCCGGUUUGAUUAAUGGAAAUUUUCAGCGACGUGCUAUUACCCUCCUUUGCAAAGGUCUGUACUGGUCAAUUUGGAUAGCGCGCAACCGCCUAAUCUUCGAAUCCAAGGCUCCGGAUUGGGAUAUGAUUUUUGAUCUCACCUUUCACCAUUUGGCCUUCUGGUUGAAGUCUUCAGUUAGAAAUUUCAGCUAUACAGGCUCAGAUCUUUUUAGAAAUCCUGAAUGUAUUAUGAACUGGACUAAUUAAUUAGGUCCCGCGUCGCUUUGGUCUUCUCUUUUCUUUUACAUUCUCAUUGUAUUUAUCUUUCGUUCAGUUCCACCUACUUAAUGGGUCUGUUUAAUAUAUAAUUCACUCGUUUACUAUCAAAAAAAAAAAAUUAUUCUCUUCAGGAGUUCAAAUGGUGUACAAACUCUUAUUCUCUUCCAGAAGUUCAAAUGGUGUACAAACUCUCACAAUUUUCGAAAACUUCAAAGGGAGCUGAAAUCCACGAGUAGAAGCAAGACAGCAUGGCAUGGCAGCUAGCAUGCCUUCUAUACAGCUUUCCAUGAUGUAAGAGGUGGAGUAUCUGAAUCCUUGAAUGUUAACAUGCCAUAGCCGUACCGAUCUCCCCUUACAGCAUCCGAAGAAGCUAUCGAUUCGAGUUCAGCCAUUUCUUCUGGCGUUAGUUUGACAGACAGAGCUCCAACAUUCUGGUUGAAGUUUUUGAUCUUGGUGGUUCCAGGAAUAGGACAAACAUCAUCACCCUGGUGGUGUACCCAGGCCAACGCCAGCUGCGAUGAAGUGCACUGUUUCCUUGCUGCGAUUUCAUUAACCCGCUCAAAUAGUUGUGUAUUAUGCUCAAGAUUUUCAGGUCGGAACCUAGGCAAACCCUGAGACAAUUGAACCACUAGUUAAUUUCAGCAGCUAAGCCUGACACAACUCAUCAAGAAGAAAUCAUCAUAGAUUAUAGUUUAUGCAACAUGUCCUUCUUGCCAUAACAAAACUUCCUAGUACUAAACGCAAACCAUCAUGAUAUUGUAUACAACUUAGUUUUUUAUGGGUGCAAGCAUGCCAAAUUUCCAUGUACAAGGCGAGUGAGCAGAUUUUACAAAUUCAAAAGUAAUGAAGAUUGAAUAUUAGAGAGAAAGAUUUAAGCAAAACAUUAAGUAUGCAGAACUUUUUGUUUGGACAUGCAUGGGACAAACUAAAGCCACCUGUCUAAAACAAGGAGAUCCUGUAAAUCUGUGUAUUAUUUGAUUGAAUCUUUAAGCAAUCUAAGUGUAUAGCAUAUUUGUAGGAAUAAUGCAAAUAUGAAAGAACUGCUAGGUAAAAUAUAAUGAUCUCAAAGCUAAACGGUAAAAUAUAAUGAUCUCAAAGCUAAACUUUUACUCUCAAAGUUUCUUCUAUGGAGUUUAGACCACCAAACCACUCCAUAAGAUGGAAGAGACUAAUUUUUUGAGGCAUCUAAGCUAACCAAUAUAUUGUCAAAAACUCGUUGCUUAAAAGUUUAAGUUAUUUGGUGAGUUUUCAAUAACGGUUUUAUAUUAUUCUGACGCAUAUAACUGUCAAAGGAGGAAAUGUGAUUUGUGACAUUCCUUCCUUUCCAAACUGUAAAAGAUUAUGCUUGUACAAUUGGUUAUUUACUGGACAUGUAUUAUACAGAUCACAAACUCUAUAUUCAAAAAGAAAAGAACCUACCUUUCUGUAGUCACCAUCUGUAAAGCUCUCAACCAACUUAGGCCCAGAGGAAAAGAAUCCCCGUCCUAGAGGACUGUAAGCAACAAUCCCAAUGCCAAGUUCUCUGAACCAUUAGAAUGAUAAGAUCAGAAUCUGGAUAUCUAAGGCAUCCCAUAAACAGCCUAAGGUUUCGGUUAUUUUGAUCUCCAAAGAAAAUUAGUUUUUCUCAUCAAUGCCUCACCUGCAGGUAGGAACAAUCUCUUCCUCCACAUCUCUUGACCACAGUGACCACUCCAACUGCACGGCUGUUAUCGGAUGAACAGCGUGAGCUCUUCUGAUUGUUGAAGCAGAGGCCUCAGACAUACCUAUAUACUUUAUUUUACCUUCUUCAACUAGUUUCUUGAGUUCUCCCAUCUAGCAAAGAAAAGAAUUAUGAUUGCACAACUGCAAGACAUUUUUCAGCUAGAAUGCAGGGACAGUACCAAAUAGUAGCAUUGUCAGAAUCCAGCUACGAAAGAGACCAUUGCAAGAUGUCAUGACGGUAUCAUCAGUACCGUGUCUAAUCUAUAAUUUUAGUGGGUUUAUGCUGAAGUUUUAGGGAUUUUUGGAUAUGCCUGUCACAGAUUCUGGAAAAUAUAUCAUCAAGUAAAAGAAAAAUUCUCUAACUAUCAUCAUGGCCAUCGAACGAUCAAGAUUAAUCAGAACAAUAUUCAGAAAUAAAAACAAUUAAAGAGAAAUACCGUAGCUUCAAUAGGAACGCUGGUAUCAAUGCGAUGUUGGUAAUAAAGAUCAAUGGAUUCAAGUUGAAGGCAUUUCAAGCUGGCCUCACAAGCAGCUCUCACAUAAGCAGGAUCCCCUCGAACCUCAAAAGUGCCAUCCUUAAUGCUGAGGCCAAAUUUGGUGGCCAAUUCAACUCUCUGUCGUAAUCCUCCCGCCUUCAAGGCCUUGCUGUUAGGCCCCAAUAAUUACUGUGAGUGAUGUUUUCUCUUAGGAUGAGAAUAAACCACAAUUUGCAUAAAAUCUUCUUACUUCAUUAAUAAGACUUGGCUGCUUAAAUAGCAAAGCCAAUUAACAACCCACGUAUUUACAAGUCAACCGAAUAAAAGAACACACGACAAACAGAAAUACAAGUAAAUAAUAAUGGAAAGAGACUAACAGAAAUACAAAUAAAUGAUAAUGGAAAGAGACCCUCCCAUACUGCCCCAUGCAUGUCUUCUAACUGCCCGACUGCAUGCACUUUCUCCCUGUUAGCAUGAAUGCAUGUUUGAGUGCAUGGGACAUGCAACCACCUGCCCGCACGAUUGCACGUUUGAUGCAGUGCAUGGGACAUGCACACUUACAGAUAUUUGAGAUUUGGUUUGAGGCCACGAAUUGAAUGUCGUGGCCUAUCAUUACUUCCCCCAGGAAGAAUAUCCUUGUCCUCAAGGAUGGUAGGCGAGAAUUUAGCGAGCAAUUGUUCAGUUGGCUCCCAGGUGGCAUCAUCAGUGGAAAGAUUUUUCUAGUGAACUAAGCUCUCCUCAACAAGGUGGCCCCCAUGUUUGAUCCAACGAGUAUCCAAAAUCAUCUGAGGCUCUAAAAUGACCACACCGUCAUCAGCGAUUGGGGGUAACUCCGUCUGGUGGGGAGCAGCUCGCCCUGCAGUGGUAUGGAAAGGUUUCAACAAAGACACAUGAAAAACAGGAUGGAUCCGCGAGUGAGCAGGGAGUUGUAACUUGUAAGCGACAGGCCCACAUUUUUCCAGAACCAAGUAAGGUCCAUAAUAACGAUUGGCUAGCUUUUGAUGGACACGUUUGAAAGCCGUUUGCUGGCGAUAAGGAUGUAACUUGAGUAAAACCAAACUGCCAACCUCAAACGAGACAUCCCUGCGUUUGCGAUCUGCCAUUUGCUUCAUACGAUUAACUGAAACUGCUAAGUUGGUCUUGAGCUGUUUAAGCAAGGCAUCGCGAUGUAACAAAUGCUGAUCAACUUCAUGUACAGUCGAGAGGCCUUCAGUGUACAAUGGAAUGGAUGGGGGUAGACGACCAUACAACGCCUGGAACGGGGUCAUGCCAGCAGAAAUUUGGGACGUGAAGAUAACUGGUCGACCUGCGGGGCCAUUGAUGAACGAAACAACGCAAAUACUGCUCCACACAACAGUUAACUACCUCCGUCUGUCCGUCAGUUUGUGGAUGGUACGCAGAACUAAGCUUCAAUUUGGUGCCCGACAACUUGAAGAAUUCUUGCCAGAAUUUACUAACAAAAAUGGGAUCGCGGUCACUGAUAAUAGAAAUGGGCAUGCCGUGAAGCUUGAUAAUUCCUUCUAAAAACUUGUCAGCCACAGUUUUAGCAGUAAAUGGAUGAGUUAAUGGAAGAAAAUGAGCUGAUUUGCUGAACCUGUCAACAACCACCAUAAUUGCAUCUUUGCCCUGGGACGUAGGUAGUCCCUCAAUAAAGUCCAAUGAAAUAUCAUCCCACACAUGACAAGGAACAGGUAAGGGUUGUAGAAGGCCUGCCAGAGCCAUUGUUUCAGUCUUGAUCUUCUGACAAACUUCACAUCCUUUAAUAUACUCCUCCACUGAUCGAUGCAUCCCUGGCCAGUAGAACUGUUGGCUCAAUUUCUUGAAUGUGCGUAAGAUGCCAGAAUGCCCACCUGUCUUGGUGUCAUGCAUUUCGUGGAGUAAACGAGUGCGUAAGGAGUUAUCAGCAGGAACAACAACUGUCCCUUUGUAGAAGAGCAGCCCAUGACGCCAUUUAUACUGUCCUUCAGGUUGAGCAUUGGCCAAACGACCUUUCAUCUUGAUAUAGUGAUCAGUUGUUGCGGCGUGUUUGAUAUCUUCCCAUAGACUGACCUGUGGAAUAAAUAGAUGGUUAAGAACUGGACUGCCUUGUUUCCUGGACAGUGCAUCUGCUGCAUAAUUUUCACGCCCUGGGCGGUAUAAUAUUUUGUAGUCAUAGCCUAGAAGUUUGGCGACCCACUUUUGCUGUUCUGGUGUGACGAUUCGCUGCUCCAAGAGAUACUUAAGGCUGCGGUGAUCAGUUUGAAAAAAAACAUUUCUUGCCCAGAAGGAAAGGACGCCAUAAACGGAUAGCCUCAAUGAUAGCCAACAUUUGUUUGGCGUAUGUAGACCAAGAUAGUUUAGUGACACCAAGUGCCCUGCUCAUGAAUGCCACUGGUUUACCUUGUUGCGACAACACAGCACCAAUGCCUUCACCAGAAGCAUCAGUCUCAAUAGUAAAUGAGUCAUUGAAAUUGGGCAUGGCGAGUGUAGGAGUUGUGGUCAUGGCAUGCUUGAGUGCAAUGAACGCAGACUCCGCCUUAUCAUCCCAAACAUACUGGCCUUUUUUAAGGAGGUUGGUGAGAGGCCGAGCAAGAACACCAUAUUGGCUGACAAACUUGCGAUAAUAACCUGUUAAACCCAAAAAUCCACGUAAAGCAGAAAUAUUAGUAGGGCGUGGCCAUGCCACCAUUGCUUCUACCUUUCUAGCAUCUACUUUCACUCCAUAAUUUGUGACUAUAUGUCCCAAAUAUUCCAGCUCCUGUUGACCAAAGGCACAUUUACUCUGCUUGACAAAGAAUUGGUGUUGCCGUAGUAUGGACAAGGUCUGCUGGACAUGCUCUAAAUGUUGUUCCCAUGUAUUACUAUAAACCAAGAUAUCAUCAAAGAAAACAAAGAUGAAUUUUCUAAGAUGUGGAUGAAAGAUUGAAUUCAUAAUAGCUUGGAAUGUAGAUGGCGCAUUGCAUAAGCCAAAAGGCAUAACCAAGUACUCAUAAUGUCCAUUAUGUGUCCUGAAUGCAGUUUUUGGUAAAUCAGGAGGACUUACUUGGACUUGAUGGUAACCAGCCUGUAAAUCAAGCUUGGUAAAGUAGGAUGCACCAUAGAGUUCGUCCAACAUGUCUUCAACAGUGGGAAUUGGAAACCUGUCUUUAAUUGUGGCAGUGUUGAGUGCACGAUAGUCUGUGCAAAAGCGCCAGUUACCAUCCUUCUUCUUAACCAAGAUGACCGGUGAUGAGAAGGGACUAGUGCUAGGUUGAACAUGUCCGGAGUUUAGCAUUUCUUGGACUUGUUUCUCAAUCUCCUCCUUCUGGUAAUGAGCAUAGCAAUAUGGACGUACAUUCACCGGUGCAGUGCCUUCCUUCAAAGGAAUAUUGUGGUCAAUCUGUCUGGAAGGUGGUAAACUGGAAGCCUCCAUAAAGACAUCAGAAAAUUCAUGCAACACUCGCAUGCUAGGUUGAAUGCCACCCUGUGUAUCCUGCAUAGUGAUUUGUAAACAAAAGGCAUAUAUGGCACCGCUGGAACAAACGUCUUUUGAGAUUUCUUUAAAUGUAGCUGCUUGAAUCUCAUGGCCGUCUAUCCCUUCCAAUCGUCUGGCUUUAUUUGCCCAAAAGAAUUCCAUGGUCAACUGUUUCCAGUUGCAAACCACAGACCCGAGUAACUCCAGCCAUUGAAUUCCCAGCACUAAAUCCAGCCCUGUGAUUGGUAGAGAAUAUAGUGUUAAGGAAAAAAUAGAGCCUUGUAGGUCUACCUGAACCUCGUUAAACUUUUUUUGACACUUGAGAUUCUCCCCAUUUGCUACUCGUACUGUGAACGCCUUUGUAGAUACCACUGGUAGACACAGUAAGUUUGCCAUUCGCUCACUGAUGAAGUUAUGUGUGGACCCACUGUCAAUUAGUGUGAAUAUGGCAUGAGAACCAAUUUUGGCAGUUACUCGCAUGGUUUUGGAGGCAGUCCAUCCUGUUAAUGCAUGUAACAUAAUCUCAGGUUCCACAAAUUCCUCAAGGUGCUCCACAACAUGAUUUUUGUCGUGGACGUUGUCACAGACAGCUUCAUCGUCUUCAUCAUGGCCUUCUAGCAUUAGCAAUUUUGCUCCCUGACAUUUAUGCCCUGUUGUGAAACGUUCAUUACAAUUAAAACAUAAUCCUUGAAGUCGUCUCCGCUGCAUUUCAUCCCAGCUCAAAUGUCUUAUCGGUGCCACAUGUGUUGUUGACGUUGAUGGUAAAAGGGCUAGAGAAGCUCGUACCGGUGGUGCUGGACGUAUGAACUUCCUCUGUCUUAUGAGCUGAUCAUCCUUCAUUCGUGCAAAGCUGAUAGCAUCCUUUAAUGUUUGUGGCUUAAACAUACGAAUGCCAUCUGAUAUAUCUGACCUCAAACCACCCAUAAAAGUUCCCACUAAAGCCUUUUGUGUCCAACCUCUGACCCGAUUGCCUAGCCGUUCAAAUUCUCGCUGGUAUUCAUGCAAGGAUCCAGUUUGUCUGAUUCUUGAAAGAGCUUCAUCAAAAUUUUCGCACUCUGAUGGUCCAAAGUGAGCCCAAAGUUCAUCUUCGAAAUUCACCCAAGCAAUAGCAUGUCCCUCGUCUUGGAAAUUCCUGCGAAUCCACUGCCACCAUUGAUUUGCUCCCCCUUCCAAAUGGUAGGAUGCCAAAGAUACCUUUUGUGUUUCAGCAGUAUUCUGAAACUCAAAAAAUUGGUUUACCCGAUUGAACCAUUCGGUUGGGUCAUCUCCUGAAAAUCUAGGAAACUCAAGCUUUGCUGUUUUGGAAGAUACAAUUUGUCGCCCUCUAUCAUGGCCCUCACGAUAUUGAUUACCAUGAGUUGUAGGUUCCUGGUUAGCAAGCAAUACAUCGGAGAGACGAUUAAGGGUUUCCUCCAGUUGGCGAUGUCUAUCAGCCAUAUGGAUCUCCAUUCUGUGUAGUCCAUCUUGGACUUCACCGAGUGUAAUUUCUAGUUGCUCAAUACGUUCUUUAUUGGUUCCCAUAACCUGGCUCUGAUACCAAUGUUAGGCCCCAAUAAUUACUGUGAGUGAUGUUUUCUCUUAGGGUGAGAAUAAACCGCAAUUUGCAUAAAAUCUUCUUACUUCAUUAAUAAGACUUGGCUUCUUAAAUAGCAAAGCCAAAUAACAACCCAUGUAUUUACAAGUCAACCGAAUAAAAGAACACACGACUAACAGAAAUACAAAUAAAUGAUAAUGGAAAGAGACCCUCCCAUACUGCCCCAUGCACGUCUUCUAACUGCCCGCCUGCAUGCAUUUUCUCCCUGUUAGCAUGAAUGCACGUUUGAUGCAGUGCAUGGGACAUGCACACUUACAGAUAUUUGAGAUUUGGUUUGAGGCUACGAAUAUCACUUGCCCAGAAGGAUUUCGUUGGUGUGGGGUCCAUAGACAUCGGAGGUGUCGAGUGAAGUGACCCCGGUGUUGACGGCAUGGUGGAUGAGGGCGAUCAUGUCUUAUUCAGGCUUUGGAGGGCCGUAGGCGGCAGACAUGCCCAUGCAUCCAAGUCCCUGUGCUGAUACUUCAAGACCCUGUGACCCCAGCUUGAUCCUUUUCACUGUUGCCAUCUCUCUUGUUCUUAUUUAAUUUGCUUCUCAAGAAUGACGGACUCAGUGUGUGUACGAGUUCUCGGCUCAGCCUAGCAAAUAAAACAAAACAGCCAUAAAUAGAGGAAGUGAAUGAAGAGACUUCAUAGUCAUCCAAGAACAAUUUCUAACGUAAGCAUCUACGUAACUCAAAUGAUGUUUGAGCUUACGCUCCAUUAUAUGCACAGCCGUUCGCAUGAAUUUUGAUUUGAAAAAUAAAAUUAAAAAUUAUUAUUAUUAUUGUUAUUUUUAUUAUUAUUAUGAUCAUCAGUGUUAUUUUUAUUUUUAAUAUUGUUAUUAUUUUUAUUACUAUUAAUUUUGAAAAAAUAUAUUAUUACUAAAAAAUCAUAAAUUUUAUUUGAAGGGAUUAAAAACUAUAAGAACUUGGAUCAAAUAAAUUUAAUAUUAUUAUUGUUAUUGUUAUUGUUAUUGUUAUUAUUAUAAAUAUUAUUAUUUUUAUUUUUAGUAGUAUAACCAGACCAUAGAAACUUGGAUCUGGCUGGGGCGCCAAAUCCAAGUUUAUAAUCAUUAGUUUUAUUCUUAUUGUUAUUAUUAUUGUUAUCAUUAUCAUUAUCAUUAUCAUUAUCAUUAAUAAUGUUUUUAAAAAACAUUAUUACUAUUAAAGAAAAAUCAUAAAUUUGAUUUCAAGGGAUAAAAAAUUAUAAGAAUUUGGGUCUAACAAGUUUAAUAUUAUUAUUAAUAUUAAAAAUAUUAUUCUUGGGUUAAGCGUUGUAGCCAGACCCAAAGAUCUUGGGUCUCGUUUUGCAAAUAGAGCUAACACUUUUAAAUAUUAGUGUUUUUUGAUAUUUUUUAUGCUAAAAAAAUUAACCCAUAAUAUAGCGCGAGCCACCCUCAGUAGUUGGUACUAUUUAUGAUAACUAAACAAAAAACCAGAUUAUUUAUAUUUCUCAAAAGCUUUUUUAAUGGUCGAAAAAAUCCUAAUGUAGUGGCAGCUAUGUCAUUGAUUAUUUACAAUUAUGCCAAUAACAUGCUAGCUAUUAUGUAUUUUGGUUAUACCCAUGACUAUGCCACAUGCCAUGUAUGAUAAAAUCCUAAUGCAGUAGUAUCUAUGUUAGCAAUUAUUUUUAAUAUUUGUAUAUUAAAAUAAUUUAAAAAUAUAAAAAAUAUUAAUUAAAAAAAAAUUUCAAACUUUUUUUAAAAUAUUUUUAAAACAUAAAAAUAAACAAGCCUUUGUACAAAUGCAAUUGCAAGGUAGAGCAAAUGAAGUUUUUUCAAGUCAAAACGAAUGGUUAAAAAAAUCACCUCUAGCAUGAGUGAAAAGAAGUCCUACCAAUUGUUUGCGUGAAGAAAAGAUAACCCUUUAACCAUACAUUCUAUACCCAUUAGCAAAACUAAUUUUUACUAUGUAAUGAGAGUUUGGAGACCAUGUCAAAGAAUGAAACUGAAGCAUCACACUUCUUUAAAGUUUAUAGGAGUUGAUAAAUUUUAUGCUUCUAAUGAGCUUAAGCAACUUGUUUGAACCCAACAAUCCUUUAGUAAUUUUUCAGGAUCCCAUGCGGAUUUCUUAAUAUUUUGUAUUGAUCCAAUACGUAUUAUUUUGAGUGAAAUAUAACUCAAAAUAUUUUAGGGAUGAAAUAAUUCAACCAUUUCUCUAUAUAAAAUGACAAGACUCAUGAGCUAUAAAUACUCCAUGAAUCAUUCAAGCUCCAAGAUCAUAAUCUCUUUAUUCUUAAUAUUUUUAGAAUACAUAUUUUAGAAUAUAUCUUUUUAAAAUAUAAUUGCACUUUCUCUCUUUAAAUAGAUAUUUAGUUAAGCAUGUGAAAGUCUCUAAUUUUACAAAAGAAAACUUUUUGAAAAUACUAGCCACUAGUCACCCUAAAGGUAGAAGCUAUCAAUCACCUUGGCUAGGGAGAAUUGAUCAGAUUGCUAGAACCAAAAGAUGAAUUGAUUAUCCAAUAUAUAAGUCAUGCUCCUAAGCUACAUGGACUUUUUAGGACCUCAUCAUUGAUACCAUUUGUGGAAACUAAAUAAAAAGCCAGUUUAUUCAUAUUUCUCAAAAGCCCUUUUAAUGGCUAGCGAAACCACAACGCAGUGGUAGUUAUGUCAGCGAUUGUGUCUACGGCUAUGCCAAUGACAUGCUAGUAGUUAUGCAUGUGAUUAUGCCCACAACUAUGCCCCCAUAUGACUACACAAGCAGUUACACCCUUGAUAAUGCCCACGGCUACGUCUACGACUAUGCCCACGAAUACAUUUAUGGCUAUGCUAACGACUACGCAUGUGGCUACAUCUACGGCUAUGUCUACGACCCACGACUAUGCCCUAAGGCUACGCCCAUAAAUAACUUUUAUGGUGGCUUAUACACGCCAAAAGGUGUCAUUGAGACUUAGAGGGCUCUGAUGAUACAUAAAAGGCGAGUUUCAUCUACUAGUGUGAAUGCAUAAUUCCCCUUGAAAUGAAUGAAUCUAAGUCUCUCUAGUGCGAUUGUAUAAUUCUCUUUGGAAGGGAUUAACAUAAAGCCUCCCUAAUAUGAUUGCACAAUCUUUGGAAGGGAUGGAUCUGAAGCCUCCCUAGUGCGAUUGCACAAUUUUCAUUGGAAAUGAUGGAUCUGAAGCCUCCCUAAUGCGAUAACACUACUCUGUAAAUAAUGGUUAUGAGGUCUUUCUAAUGUAUUAUCAUCACUCUUUAAGGGAUGAGUAUAUGGCUCUCUAGUGCAAUAUCAUCACUCUUCAAGGGAUGAACUUGGUGUCCUUAAUGCAAUAACACCACUCUUCAAUGGAUCAACCAAGGGUCUCCUUAGUGUAAUAACAUCAUUAUCUAAGGGAUUGACCAAAGGUCUUCCUAGCGCAAUAACACCACUCUCCAAUGGAUGGGUAUGAGGUUUCUCGAGUGCAAUAACACCACUUUCAAUGGAUGGGUAUGAGGUCUCUCUAGUUCAAUAACACCACUCUUCAAGGGAUAGACUUGAUCUCUUUAGUGCAAUAACAUCACUCUCUAAUAAAUGAACUUGGUCUCCCUGGUGAAAUAACACCACCUCUUAUAGGUUCCCCUCGUUCACUUAGAAAUUUUCUAAGUUGGACUCCACCCCCAAUGGGUUCCUCUAAUGAGUUCCUUCAAUGAAUUUCUCAAAUGGAUUCCUCCGAUGAGUUCUUCCAAUGAGUUCAUCCAAUAGAUUCUUUCAAUGAGUUCCUUUAAUGGAUUCUUCUAAACCAUUUAGAAAUUUUUCUAAACACAAGAUCCUCUUCCAUGGGUUUCUUCACCUAUUAGAAAAUUUUUCUAAGUAUGGAUUCCUUCAUGGUUUCCUUCUAUAUAUUUAGAGUUGUUUUUUCAACCAUAGUACAUGCCCAUACACAUGGGCUCUCCAGUAUAUUACCCGGGGUUUCCACCCCUCUUUUCAUAUGAAGAGAAUUUUAUGAACUUGUCAUGGUAAUUGAGUAUUUUUACAAGUGUUUGAAUAUUAGUAUCAUAAAGACUUGAAGGGCUAUUGAUGAACCUAGAUUUAACAGGUUCAAAACCCCCAACAAACCAUAAAGAAUGGGCUCAGGUGCUGCAUGGACUUAAUGACCAUGGCCUCCAGGCAGCGUACAUGUCCUUAUUUUUCGCCCUUAACAGGCUUAGGUAACUCACUUGAGCCCAACACUCACUCAAUAAUUUUUCAAGCCCAAACAUGUCCCUCAAUAUUUUAUAUGGAUCCAAUAAGUAUUAUUUUAGGUGAAGUAUAACUCAAAAUAUCACAUGGAUGAAAUGACUCUUUAGCCCCUCCUUUCCAUUAAAGGACAAGAUUCAUAAGUUAUAAAUACCUCAUGAAUCAUUCAAGCUCCAGGUUCAUAAUCUCUUCAUUCUCAAAAUUUUUAGCAUGUAUAUUUUCAAAGUUUAUCUCUCUAAAAUAUCAUUGCACUUUCUCUCUCUAAAAAGAUAUUUAUUUAAGCAUCUGAGAGUUCCCAUUUCUAUAAAAAAAAAAGGACCUUUUGCAGGUACUAGCUACCAACCAUCUUGGCCUACCAGGCAUUAAGUUCAAGGUAUUAGCUGGGGAGAAUGGAUCAAAUUGCUAGAAUCAAGAGAUUAACUAAUUAUCUAAAAUAUAAGCCCUGCUCCUAAGCUACAUGAAUUUUUUAGGAUCUCAUCAAAAGGAUAACUAGAUAGGUUGCUUGCGUUACGCCACGGGUUGAGUCAAAAUUUUCCUCACAUUAAAAUAAUGUCAAGGUGAUGUUAACCCAAGACAAUUUGAGUUAACUUAACUACACACAACCCAUGAUAUGAGAUUGAGUUAGACCUCUUAAAAAGAUAAAGGAAAAAAAUCAUAAAACUCAAGACCUAAUAGCAUAAUGUCAAAUAAUGAAAAAAAAUUAAAUUUAAAAAAAUAGUUCUGAAGAAAAAAAACCUGGGUCAACUAAGGAUAAUUUGACCAAUCAACCACCUAUGAUAUGAGAUCGAGAUAAAAAAAAUUUGACUCUAAAAAAAGGACCUAAAAAAGAGUACCGAAGUUCAAUAAAAAAGACGUUGAAAAACAAACUCAAGCUAAAAUGGGUUAAUUUGACAAACCGGCACUCGAGAUAACCUCACAUAAAGAAAAACAAAAAAUAAUGACAUAAAUCAAGGGCCAAUAAUCUAAUAUCAAAUGAUAAAACUAAGAAAAAAAAUCAUUUUUUAAAAAGGUCGAGAAAAAAAACCUGAGUCAACUCAGGUUAACUUAAUUAAUCAACCACUCACGAUAUGGGAUCGAGAUAAAAAGAAUUAGAUUUUAAAAAGAAGAACCUAGCAAAAAACACCAAAGCUAAAUAAAAAAAACACUGAAAAAUAAACCAAGAUAACUCGGGUUAACUUGACUAAUCCACACUCUCCACAGAACAAAAGGCGAAAAAAAUCAUAAAGCUCAAGACCCAAAAAUGUAAUGCCAAAGAAUGAAUUUGCAAAAAAAAAAAAAAAACAAAUCAAUUAAAAAAAAUCAAGGAAAAAAACUUGAAUCAACCCGAGUUCACUCGACUAACCUGUUACUCAAGAUAGAGAUUAGAAUAACCUAAAAAAAAGAAAGAUAGGACAAAUAACAAAGUUCAAGGCCCAAUAACCAAAAUUUCAAAUGAUGAAUUUGAGAAAAAAAUCAAUCUAUAAUAAAAUGACAAAAAAAAGAACUUUUAUCAUACCUGGGUCAUGAGAAAGGCAAACAUAAAAAAAAAAAGUAGAAUAUCCAAUUACAAAACAAUCUCAAAUCCAAGUAAUGAUGACUAAAUCUAGUAUAAAAACUAAAUAAAAAAAAUAAUUAGGGACUAAAUUGAAAAAAAAAAUUAAGAAGAGGAUAAGAAAAUAGUAAUAAAAAGAAUGAGAAUCCAAAUUAGAUUAAAAAAACCUAAAUAAAAUAAGAUGUUGAGAGAUAAAAUAAAAAAAAGGAUAAAUAAGAAAAGAAUAAGAAAAUAGCAAUAAAAAAAGACCGAAAUUGGAUAAAAAAAUAAAUGCAAUAAAAUAAUCAAGGAUGAAAUUGAAAACUAAUAAAUCAAGAAAAGGAUAAAACACCAAAAAAGAGUAAUCAAAUUAAUGAGGACCAAAUUAGAUACAAAAAAUAAAUUAAAUAAAAUUCUCAGAGAUGAAAUUGAAAAAAAUAAUCUAAAAUCCAAAAAGCAUUAAAAGCAAAACAAAUAAUAAUUGAUAUAAUGAGAGCCAAGAUUGAUAGAAUCCCAAAAUGGAGGAUAUAACUAUUUUUUGGAUGGGCUAACAUGAAUUUCUAGCGAAAAGAGAGAAAAGAGAGGGAUAAAAAAGGCAUGCUAGAGGUCAACCGUGCCUCCGCCACAAGCAUGCACCACACUACUAAAAAGCAAACGAUACGCCUCUCAUAAUGUUGGCAUGUAUGGUGAAAUUUGAUAACCAAAAGGCCUUACACGCGCCUCUCAUGGGAAUUGUCUCGUGUUGAAGCGUCAACAACUUUUUUUCUAAUAAUAUUUAAUUUUUGAAAAUAACUAAACAACUCUAAGGCCAACCUAAAAAUAACAAAAUAAAAAAACAUAAGUAAAAACCAAAAAUACCCUUGAAAUCAGGCGUAUGAUGUUUUUAUUUUUGUUUUAAGGAUAAUAUUGUGACUUUAUUGUUCAAAAAAUUAAAAAUAUAAAAAAUCCCCAUGUGCUAGUUUAAUGUUUAUUGUGACAAUAUUAUUUUAAGGGUAAUAUUGUGCUAGUUUUAUUUUAAGAAAAUUCUACCCCUACUAGCUAGGCUUUUGGUUUGUGUGCAGAAGGGGAAAACAAUUCAUUGUCUCACAGCUACAGUAAAUGCUUGAUCUCUUUUAGGGUUUUUUGAUAUAUAUAAUUAACGAUUUUAAGUGGAAUGGGUAUUGUAUUCAUUUCCUUGUUAUUUUAAGUAGGUAUUCAAGUGUUGCUUUGUUCAUCCUAAUAACCAAAACCUAAAACUUGAUUUGGUCGAAAAUAAAUCUAACCCCACAAAGGAUAUAAUUUUUAUUUAUUUAUUCUCUUUUAUGUUUUUAAUUUAGCCUCCAACAAGAUUCCAAAGACUAGAGAACCUUGAUUCAACAAAAUCCCAACCUUCCUUUCUCCAAAAAUGGGUUUUGCUGCUUUGGAACUUGACUUGGAUGAAAUGCAUGCGGGACUCCAGUAACAAAAAGAUAUAACCAUACUAAACCAUGAAAUCAUGCGAAAGAAAUUGUUACAAUCAUUGGUUUUUUUAUUCAAUUUGGGUUUGGGAGGGGAGAGAAAUGGAUUGUUUAGUGAGAAGAUUUUUAGUUGAUGAGAGAUAAGAAGUUAUUUAUUGUUUGGGUUGAUUUUUAAUAUAAUAUAGGCAAGGAUAUUUAGGUAUUUUUUUAAAUUUAGAAUUUUCUUUUGACUUAGGAUACAAAUUCUAAUUUUUUAAAACUCGAUAAGUAAAUGAAAUUUUAACUAAAUUAUAGGAUGCUAAGGGUAAUUUUUUCUUUAUUAAUUAGAAUAUAAUAGGAAUUUUGUAAGUAGUUUAAACUAUUUUGUUAACUUUGUUUUAGCGAAGAUGUAAAAUACUAUACAACUUAAAAAUUUAUUGACUUUGGAUAUAAUUUUUUUAAAAAAAAUAAAGAUAAUGUGAAAAAAUAAUUACAUUAUAGAUAAAAAAUUACAUUUAGCAUCCUAAUGUUUGAUCUGAAAUACCAUUACCUAUUGUAAUUUUUAAAAAAAAAUUAUAUUUUGAAAUUCAAUGAGAUGACUACAUUUCCAUUAUAUAUAUAAUUAAAAUGAAAAUUAACCAAACAAUAGAUUAGUAGCUUUGUUACCCUCUCUCUCUUUGACCAAAUCAUCCCCCCUCUUUCUCAAUUACAUUUUGCUCUCAUCAUGUGAGCGCAAUUCGAACCCAAAUUGAAAUAUUUCAUCUAAUUCGAGAUCAUCAACAACCAUUUAUUUUAUUUUUUCAAAAUGUUUUAAUGGUUACUUGAUGGUAUUUUGGUUAUUUUUGAGUUUGAAUGACUCUUUAAUCAUUAAAUAAAUUACAAUAAUAAAUCUAUAAAUAAUUAGAUAUUUUUUAUUGAUAUUUUUAGAAAAUAUAUUAAGGAUUAGUACUUCUAUAAAUUUAAUAUCAAAGAUAAUUUUCUCCAUUAUAGAAGUAUAGAUUACUUUUAUCCUCAAAAACAAUUUCUUUUGGUUGAGGUUGAAAAAUAAAAGACAAGGUUUGUUUAUCCUUACGUGAAAGGAUACAUAUCAAACCCAUACAGACCACUAAAUCUUGCUUUACAGAUAAAAUUAACUCAAAGCAAUGACAUGACUCUCUCUUCAUCAGACACUCAUUGAAAUUCCAACGCAAACAGCCAUUGACAUGCAACUGUUAGACUACAUACAUCCUUCAAACUCCGCGACUUGUUUUUCCCUUUGCAUAAAGCAUAGAUGUUAAAUCGGAAUGGAAGAUUUACAUGGAAAACUUAGAAUUUCAAGUUUAACCAUAGCCAAGUUUUUAGUGUAAAAUAUAGUUGUUAAAUCUGGCAUGAUUAGCAGAUUUACUUGAAUUUUAGUUGAAUCGGAUAAAACAAUGACCUAAUAAACUCAACUAGAUUUUUAAUAAUUCGAGUAACCUUUCCAGACUUAGCUGAGUCAACACACAAAAAAUGACCUAAUAACCAAACUUUUUGUUGGGUAAGUACUUAAAUCGAGUAUCACAAAUAAGUAAUUUGAUAGACAAAUAAGUAGCACUAAAAUUGUCACACCAAAUCGUAGGCACAGAAGACUGAGUAAUUUGCAGAUCUGACAAUAAAUGUAACAUCCACAUUUCCAGGACCAACACGUUAAUCAUAUAAGGGGAAAACAUGGUGAUUUUUUUUUUUUUUUUUUGCUGAAUUCAUACAAGCUUUACCGAAAUUUUAGCAAAGUUUCUUCUAUAUCAAGAGGUCCCAAGUUAUCGACAAUUAUCUUGUAUGCAUCUAUCAUUUAUUGUUCAACCAUAUCUCAAUCAUUCUAAGUCUCCAACAUCAAUUUAUUCAAGAGUACAAGCACAAUAUCUCAAAUAUCCAUCUUUUAAAGUCGACCAUAAAUUAAUUCUUAGAUAAACGAAACAUAAAUACAUUAAGAUUAUAAGUACAUAAUAAUACAAUUUACGUUCAGACAUUUAAUUUAAAGGAAGCUAUUACAAUUCAAGUCAUAUAGUUCCUUGAAAGACAAAAUACAUCAACGUUCAUUUAGCUUUUUUUAAAUAACACAAAAGAAAACUAAAGGAUCUAAAAUAUUACUCUUGUCGUGAAUAUAAUGGACCUGCAACAACAUAAUAUUUGGAAAUAAUUAUAUUAAGAGCAAUAAUAUCGUAGAAAAGAGAAAUCAAACAAUAUAUAUAUUAAUUCAAUGCUACGAACUUUCAUAAUUCCUUAUAAUUCCCCAUUUAAUCUCCUUCUAAUACUUCUAAAUAUAUCCUUCUAGGAAUCACCAAACAUUCUCAUUUCAUUAAUACUAUCAAACUAUUCUCCACCGAAAAUACCAAUUGUACCACUUCUUUCCAAAACAUGGGAAGGGUAAUGCCAACACUAAUGAAUCUCAUUAGUGUCAUUAGUCAUCCUUGUCGGGACUGACUAAUCACGUUUAUGGUAAUGUUGACAUCAAUGUAGCCAAUUGAUGUCAUUAAUUAUUUCCAACCCGAAAUAAUUAAUCAAUUUUCCAUAAUACCUUGGAAUAUUUCUGGGAAUGCUGAUGUCAAGGUUUAUUGACAUCAUUAGCUUUCACAUCAAGAAUAGCUAAUCAAGUUUCAUAAGUUUGCUAAUAUUGACAUCAUCUGUCGAUAUCAUUAACUAUUCUUAACCCGAAUAGUUAAUCAAGUUCAGUAUUCCUCAUUCUCUGCAAUGGUCAUGUCGAUGUUAGCAAACUUUAUUAACAUCAUUAGCCUCCUAUAUUUGGGACCGGCUAAUCAAAUCCAAGAAGUGGUUAUUAGGGAAAUUCAUUACUACAGUUCAUUAUUCUCAUUCAAAACCAUAAAUCAAAUCUGAUUUCAUUUCUCAUUCAUUUCAUUUUAUCUUUUCUCAUUUUGGUUUCAUCCGUAGGCAUAAGAUCCAUGAAUUGAACAGAUUACUAAAAUUACCAUUAUUUAAGGAAAGUAUAGGUAUAGAGUACCUACUUGUUGUAGAAGCUCGGCUCGUGCUCCCUUGCUGUUGUUGUUCCCUUCUUACGGUUCCUCCUGAAUCUACAAGCAUACUAUAUUAUUCCUUACUUAAGUCACAUUUCACAAAAUAACAACAACAAUAAUGUUUAUUUUCCUUUUUCAAUUGUUUUUCUUACAUUUGCGUUUCCAUUACAUCUCUUAAGAUUACGGUUCAUUAUCAAAUCAUAACUAACAUCACAAUUUCAAAUUCAAAAAUGGCUUAUCCCUUUCAAACUUCAAGACAUGACGCUACACAUUUUUCAAAGGGAAGGAAAUUGGAUUAUGCCCCUAACAUGACUAAAUUUACUUGUUUUUCCAAUUUUCUGAAUCUACCAACAAAGGCGGCAGCUCGACCUCUCCGCAUAUAUUUACCUAUAUCUGGAGUUCUAAAGCUCCAAAUUAAGCGAGGUUGGAUUUGUUGGAAAGCUAACAUUCCUGGCUAUAACUCUCUGGAACCAAGGUGAUGAAUUUGCUCAAUUUUGUCAAAAGUUUUUAGAUGAACUUUCAAUUAUCUCCAUUUCCCUUUCUUCUCUUGAGACAACUAUUUCUACAUUUCGCAACUCCUUCUAAGAUAUGUCAUAGGCUAUACAUAAGGUUAAUACCCUCGUUUCCCCUUCACAUAACUCACGCAUUUGACUUAUGAAGUUCCCUACUACCAAGUUAUCAUGUUUUCCCUCAUUAGUAAACUUUCACCACACCUAAUUCAUGCAUCAUUAACAUAUGACAUCCCAAAACUCUCUCUCUCUCUCUCUCUCUCUCUCUCUCUCUCUCUCUCUCUCUCUCUCUCUCUCUCUCUCUCUCUCUCUCUUCAAUUUGGUCUUGGCCGAAACUUGGCCUAAGGGGACUAAGGGUCCCUUUUUCCUUUCCAUGCAAUUAUUUGUCUCAUUUACUCAUUGUUCACAUCAUAACGACAUAUCACAAAGUUUUAUCAAGCAAAAUUCAGAAUUUAUUUUCCUCUUAUUCAACCCUCACAUGGCUGGCCACUCAUGUCCCUUGGUCAUUGAUUUUUUUUUCUUUGGUAUUCUUGCAUGAUAUCAUAUUCAAGGUAAUUUAUAACACUUCAAUUAACCUAAUUCCAACAAAUUCUACAAUUCUCUUAAAUUUCACUUAAGAACUCUAAUUUUUAAAUUAUAAAAUUGGUGCACAAUUCCUAAUCAAAUUUUAAAUUGGUUUUCACAAUUAGGUUUAGGGCCCUUUCCUGAAACAAAUUUGGAUUUCAACUCAAAUUUAGUUAAAGAUUUUUAGCUCAUCUCUCCUUGCAUGCAGCCGACCCUCUCCUUUUUUUUUCUCAUAAUUUCUUCACUUGUUUCCUGGUUAAUUUCUUUGUUAAGGAAUGUUCUCUCUACUUAGAGGUCUAAAGUUUGUAUACCCUAAUAAUUUUGGUGGUGUUUUGCUCUCAAUUUUGAUGGAGGAAAAUUUGAAAUCCCUCUCUUCUUCUUGUCUUGGUGCAGCCAGCCACAUGAAAGAGAAAAUGGGGUAUUUACAGUCCCAUUCUUUCUUAAUUGCACUUUGGCCCAUUCACCCCCCCUUUACAAUUUGAGUUGUACUUCUUUUUAUUUUUUAAAAUCUCCCCCUUGGUAAUUGAAUUUAUUUGAUUUUCUUCAUACAUUUAACUUCCACCUUUUCUUAUUGUAUUUUUUUGCAAAAGUUUAUUCUCGGGGUUUACAAUAAAUAUCGAAGCCAUAUGACCUCAGAAGUGUCAUUGGCUAAGGCUUUAUACUCAGCCUCGAUAGAAGAACGAGUCACGGUACGUUGUUUCUCUGACUUCCAAGAUAUCGAUGUAUGUCAAAAGAAAACAUGAUAGUCACCCAUAGAUUUACAAUCAUCAAAACCACCAACCCAAUAAACAUUUGUAAAGCCAUGCAAGGAAAAGAAAAAGUUACGGGUGAUAUGAAGACCAAAGGAAACUGUACCUUUAAGAUAACGAAGAUUGUGUUUAACGACAGCCUAAUGUGCAUCUGCAGGAGCAUGCAUAUACUGACAGACUUUGUUAAUAGCAAAACAAAUGUUUGGUCUUGUAAAAAGUGAGAUGUUGAAGAGUGCCAACAAUUUGUUGAAAACAUGUAGGAUCAGAAAACAAGCAAUCAGACACUUUAACAACCUUUGAUGUAGUAAUAGAAGUAUUAACAGGCCUGCAAGAAGACAUACCUGCCUAAUGAAGGAUGUCAAGAAUAUACUUAUAUUGUCAUAGCAUGAUACCCAUAGUGGUAGGAUGAACCUCAAUGCCCAAAAAAUAAUGAACAACUCUUAAAUCCCGAAGCUUAAACUCUAAGCUUAGCAAUUGAAUCAAUUGGUGAAGCAAGAUUGAAUUGCUUCCAGUUAAAAAAAAUAUCAUCAUCCAUAAACAAAAUGAAUAAUGAUGUGUCAACCUUAGAAGCAUGAAAGCCAAUAGAGAAAAGAUAAUCACUAAGCUGAGUGUACUAUGCUCAAGGAGCUUGUUUCAAGCCAUACAAAGAUUUAUACAACUAACACACAUGAGAAAAGAAAUUAGAAUCAACAAAACCUGGAGGUUGUUGCAUGUAGACCUCUUCAUCAAGUGUCAAAUUGAGAAAGAUAUUAUGAAUAUCAAAUUGAUUAAUUUUCCAAUCAUGCAACACCGCGACUGUGAAAAUUAACUGAACAGUGGCUUGCUUAACAAUAGGACUAAAAGUCUCAAAGUAAUCAAUACAUUCCUUCUAACUAAAACUUCUAGCAACCAAUCGAGCCUUAUAGUGUUCAAUGAUGUCAUCGACAUGACGCUUGAUCUUGUACACGUAACGAUAACCAAUAACAUUCAUCGAAUGAUGAAAAAAAACUAAAAACCAAAUGUUGUUAGAACACAACACCUGAAUUUCAGUCGUCAUAGCAUCUCGCCAAGCCCCAUACCUGUCAGCAUCAUAAAAAGUAAGUGGUUCAUAGGCAGAACUAAAGAAUUCUCGAGAUUUAUGAUUGUUAGAGGAGGCUGAAUAAGCUGUUAGAUUGGUUUUUUUGGCAGCCGUGAAUGAAGAACUAUAUAAUAUCGACGAACCAUAGACGACGAGGCAGGGAGAGCUGAUCUCGAAUGAUGUUGUAAUGGAUAAGAAAAGAGGUCAACAACCAAAUUUAAUCUAAUAACAGAGGUAGACUAAGAGGUAGAGCUUGCAGUAAAGGCAUCAUUGUUAGAAAUUGAAGCACCAGCAGUGGGAGACCUGGGAGAACCAGCAACAUCAAACAUGUCAUGUUGCAAUUUAGAAGGGGUUGAACAUGUACCUGUAGUAUGAUUAUUAGAGAAACAUACAUGUGGUGACAUAAGAGCUAAUGGGUUGUUAUGAGGUGGUAGAAACAAGAGGCUAAGAGGUUACAAGUAUAGGAUUGUGAAAAAUUAGUGAGGUAAGGAAAUUAGACAAAUUGGUAGAAUUGUUAGGAGAGGGAGUAGGGUCUAGUUGUGUAAUUUGUUCAUAUUUGUCAAAAGAAAACACAUGUUCAUGAAAAUAGACAUGACGAGAAAUAUAAAUUCAUUGAGAUGCGAGAUCAAAACAACGAUAACCAAGAUAAAAAGAGCUAUAACCUAAAAAAAAAUAUGGAUAGGAACAAAAAUCUAAUUUAUGAUUAUGAUAUGGACGCGGACACGGAAACGGAAAACAAAGACACUCAAAAGUACACAAAAAAUCAUAAUCAGGAGAAUGUUGAAAAAGAAAAUUAAAAAGGGCAUGCGAUUGAUAAGAUAAUACAAGGUUUCAAAAGUGUAAUUCCAAAACCUCAAUAGUGCUUUACAUUGGCCGAGAAUAGUAAAACCAGUUUCUAAAAUAUGCAUAUGACGACGUUCAACUAUGUCAUUUUGUUCAUGUGUAUGAGGACAAAUUAAACGAUGAUGAAUAUGAAUUGUUUGAAAGAAAUUAUGGAACUUGCAGUAUUCACCACCCCAAUCAAUUUGAAAAAAUUUAAUUUUAGCAAAAAUUAGCACUCAACCAAAGUUUAAAAUUGAUGAAAAACAGAGAAGACAUUAGAUUUCACAACAAGAGAAUAAUAUCAUAUAUAUUUUGUAUGCAUAUAACAAAAACCAUCAAAAAGAAAAAAAAAGGAGUACGACCCCAAACAUCACUAAAUAUUAAGUGAAAUGGAGCAGGAGUUUUGUGGCCUGUAGGUCCUAAUGACAGACACAACGACUUUCCUAAUAGACAAGCUUAACACCGAAAUUGAAAACUUUUAGAGAUACAAGCAAUUUUAUCUUUUGAUACUUAAAAAUUAAAAACAGGGAAGUAGGAUGACUCAAUCGACAAUGUCAUAGAUCAGUAGAAGUAGAGACGCAAGGAGACCAAUAAACUUGAGGAAUUGACAUGAUAGAAGACUUGAAAAAAAAACAUAGAGACCAUCUUUACUCUUACUAGAAAGGAGAAGUGCCUUGAGGUUGAAAUCUUUAAUAUAAAACACAAAUGGUUGAAAUGCAAAAUAAACAUUAUUAUCAAGAUAAUUUUUUGAACAGAAAGCAAUGGCUUUUGAAUAUGUGGUACAUGAAGAACAUUGGAAAAGUGAAGGUACAUUUUGGUGUAUAUAACUUAGUAUGCCUAAUAUUAGAUGUGGAAAGGCCCUUACCAUCACUUACAUACAAGUGAUUAUUAUCGAGAUAUGGUUCGAAUCCUAUCAGAUUUGCAAGAUCAGGUGUGAUGUGUUGAUUCGCACUAGUGUCAGGAAACCAUUCUACAGAAUUUGUUAAGGCAACAUUGUUGAGCAUAAGAUUGGCAUUAGGCUAUUGUCAAUGGCUUUGAAGUUGAGAAUAGUAGGGGGUGGAAUGAUCGAAGGUUUGACACCUUUGGCACUUAACAUUAGACCAUUGUGAAGAGCCAUUAUUUCAUUAGUUUAGUUAUGAAUUACCCCGCCUCUAGUUGUUGUUUGAAACCUAUAGAAACUUUGAAAAUCAAACCUGGCAUUAAUGUUGUUACGAUUGUUAUUAUAAUGUUUACACUAGCCUCCAUGAGAUCAUCCUCUUCCAUUACUGAAAUUAUAAUUGUUGUUAUACGAACCAGAGGGCUGACGUUAAGCAACAUGAGCUGAUGGUGGCUAAGCUGGUAUGGGCAGUAAAGAAGUAGUGAUAGCAGCACCCAUGAAGUGAAGAGAGGUAUUGUGAAUGAACUCAUGAGUAAGAAGAUGACUAUGAAGAUCAGCAUACAAAAGAGGUUCUAUCUUGGUCAUGAGGCUUGUUACCAUGUACUCGAACUCACCUCAAAGACAACGAAACAUGUACAAAUUGAAAUCCUUUAGCGAAAUUAUUCAGUCAGCAGUGACUAAUUCAUCAAACAUGCCUUUGCUUUUUUGCAUAAAUACAGUGACCAAAUCAUCACCCUGAUGAAGAUCUUGAAAAAACCAUGAAGUUGCAUAAUACAAGAAUUAAACGGAAAAGCAAGGGCUUACUCAAAAGUACACCAAACACAGUGCGAGGUUUGGAAAUCGACAACAAAAUAUAGUACAUCCAUUGAAAGAGAAGAAAGUAGUGCAUCGAGAAUAAGUUGAUAAUGUUGUUUCCAAAGAAGAAAAGAAUUAUUAACUGAAAAGAAGAAUCAUCGACAACAACCAUAUAAGGAGGACACGGCUAAAAGUCAUCAACAAAAGGGAAAACACCUUGUCUAAUAAGAUAUGGCUUCAUCUGCAUUCGUCAAUAAAGAUAAUUUGUGUUUGUAAGCUUCAAAGAAAUAACUUGAUGAGUAUUGGAGAAACUACCAGAAUUCUUUAAAAUACCGAUGGAAUUUUUUGUUAGUAUGUAUACUCUCCUUUCAUUGGAAAGAAAUUUACCGAUGGACUCACCGAUUUAAAUGCUUCGUCUGUAAAACUCUCUUCGGUAAUUUUGGGUAUGUUGGUGAGUCCGUUGGUAAUAAAAUUACUGAUGGAUUUACUGACGGAAAAAGCACACAAAAAAAAUUACCCGUUUCAUUUCUUUGGUAUUUCCCUCGGAAAUUUUGUCAUAUAACCAACAAAAAUAAUGUAUGUAAUUUCAUCGGUGAUUAAACAAUGGAAAAAUGGCAUUUGCAGUAAUUUUUUUUCAACUCUCUAGAAUAUACCAAUGGACUUAAUUCAUCGAUAAUAUUGUUAGUAAUUAUUUAAAAAUAUUUUAAAAAAUAUAUAUUUAAUAGAAGUAGAAAAUAAUUAAAAUAAAUUAAAUUAAUAUAAAUCAACACUCCAUAAUACUCAGGAACUGAGUUGUUUGGAAAAAAGAAGAAGAAAAUCAACUCAAACAAAUUUGCAACAAAUAAAUAACACAAAAAAAAUAAACAACAGCAACAAAUAAAUAAAUCAACUAAAAACAAUUCCACCUAACCUAGAAAACCUAUUUCAAAACCCAUAAUCCAGUAAUAAAUAAAUAAAUUUAAUUGAAAUUCAACAACAAAAUUGAAAACAAAAUUAAACCAAAAUCCAAUAAAAUUGAUCUCAUUUGAAAAACAAAGUCCUACAAUAAUAUUCAUACAAUUAUUAAGAACAGAAAAAUUUAGAAAUUAAAAAAAAAUAUAAUGCAAGAAAAAAACAUUAAAAAGAAAAGCCUUAUCUUAAUUUAAUUGUGAGUGAAGCUGAAAAGAAAAAAGAAAAAACAAAUUCAUAAAGUAUGUUAAUUAAUAAAAAAACUGACAAGAGAAAAGAAGAAGAGAUGAGAAGACAUAUUUGUGCGUGGAGGAGAAGAGAAGAGAAGAGAAGGAGUUGAGAAGAAGAGAGAAAGAAAGAAAAGGAUGUUGGUGUCAUUUAUAUUUGCCAAUUUUCUGGUGGUGAGAAGGAAAUAAUGCUUGCAAUUGAAGGCUCCAUGGUGGCAAGAUUCACGAUAGCAGCAGCAAGGGAAGGUUGCAUGGUAGCAGCAGCAGGGAAAGGUUUCAAAGUAGAGGGAGAAGAAAAAGACUGAGGAUUCACGACAGCAAUAGGAGAAGCUUCCAAAGCAAAGGGAGAAGAAGUUUGCACCAUAGGCUGAUACGAAGAGUCCAUUGGAGAGGAGAAAAUAGAGUUUUAAAGUGUAAUGGCUCUGAUACCAAGUUGAAAAUAAUAGAAGGCUUAAUCUAUUAGGUAGCAAACCUUUCUUAUUUAUAUAUAUAAAACAAUGUACAAUAGUUAAUGCAGAGAUUACAACACACAAGUCUUUAAUACAUAAUAUACUAUAAUAUUAGAUUACAGGAACAUUUAUUCUCUUCAGAAGUUCAGAUGGUGUACAUACUCUCACAAUUUUCAAAAACUUCAAAGGCAGCUGAAAUCCAAGAGCAGCUAGCAGCAAGACAACAUGACAUGGCAGCAUGCCUUCUACACAGCUUUCCAUGAUGAAAGAGGUGGAGUAUCUGAAUCCUUGAAAGUAGAGAAUCCAUCGUCAGACCUAUGUCCCCUUACAGCAUUUGAAGAAGCGAUUGAUUCGAGUUCAGCCAUUUCUUCUAGUGUUAGUCUUACAGACAGAGCUCCAACAUUCUGGUUGAAGUUUUCGAUCUUGGUGGUUCCAGGAAUAGGACAUACAUCAUCACCCUGAUGGUGUAACCAGGCCAAAGCCAGCUGCGAUGAAGUGCAUUGUUUCCUUGCUGCAAUUUCAUUAACCCGCUCAAAUAAUUGUCUAUUAUGGUCCAGAUUUUCAGGUCGGAACCUAGACAUAUCCUGAAACAAUUGAAAAAACAACUCAUCAACAAGAAAUCAUCAUAGAUGGGCGGUUUAUGCAUAGCAUUAUUCCAUAGGUACUUGUAACAUGUCCUCCUUGCUCAAUGUUUGAAAUUAGGACCAGCUUUGCCAAAGCAAAAUAUUCCCAGCACAAAAUGCUAAUCAUCAUCAUAUUGUAUACUACGCAGGUUUUAUGGGUACAAACAUGCAAAAUUUCCAAGCUACAAGGCGAGUGAGCAGAUUUUAGGAAGCCAAAAAUACUGAAGAUUGACAAUUAGAGAAAGGAUGUCAGCUACCCAUGAGUUUGUGUUCCUCUAGCUAGUCCUCUUUUUAGUACAUAACUGAGUAAUCAAAAGAUAUAAGCGAAACAUUAAGCAUGCAGAAUUUUUUGUUUGGACAUGGGACAAAUAAAGCCACCUGUCUAAUACAAGGAGAUCCUGUAAAUCUGUGUUUUAUUUGAUUGAAUCUUUAAGCAAUCCAAAUGUAUAGCAUAUUUGUAGGAAUAAUGCAAAUGUGAAAGAACUGCUAGGUAAAAUAUAAUGAUCUCAAAGCUAAACUUUUACUUUGUACAAGUUUCUUCUAUGGAGUUUAAACCACCAAACCACUCUGUAAGAUAGAAGAGACUGUUUUUCAAGGCUUAGAUAGGUUUAGUUUUAUAUUAUUUUCUAACAUUUGUGACAUCCUUUAGAAACCGUAAAAGAUUAUGCUUGUGCAAUUGAUUAUUUACUGGACAUGUGUUAUAUUGAUCACAAACUCUAUAUUCAAAAAGAAGAGAACCUACCUUUCUGUAAUCACCCUCUGAGAAGCUCUCAACCAACUUAGGCCCAGUUGAAAAGAAUCCCCGUCCUAGAGGACUGUACACAACAAUCCCAAUGCCAAGUUCUCUGAACCAUUAGAAUGAUAAGUUCAGAAUCUGGAUAUCUAAGGCAUCCCAUAAACAGCCUAAGGUUUCGGUUAUUUUGAUCUCCAAAGGAAAUUAGCUUUUCUGAUCAAUGCCUCACCUGCAGGUAGGAACAAUCUCUUCCUCCACAUCUCUUGACCACAGUGACCACUCCAACUGCACGGCUGUUAUCGGAUGAACAGCGUGAGCUCUUCUGAUUGUUGAAGCAGAGGCCUCAGACAGACCUAUAUACUUUAUUUUACCUUCUUCAACUAGUUUCUUGAGUUCCCCCAUCUAGCAAAGAAAAGAAUUAUGAGUGCACCACUGCAAGACAUUUUUCAGCUAGAAUGCAGGGACAGUACCCAAUAGUAGCAUUGUCAGAAUCCAGCUACGAAAGAGACCAUUGCAAGAUGUCAAUGCACAUAAUAAGCAUGACGGUAUCAUCAAUACCGUGUCUAAUCUAUAAUUUUAGUGGGUUUAUGCUCAAGUUUUAGGAUUUUUGGAUAUUCCUGUAACAGAUUCUGGAAAACGUAUAAUCAAGUAAAAGCAAAAUUCUCUAAAUAUCAUCAUGGCCAUCGAACGAUCAAGAUAAAUCGAAAUACCGUAGCUUCAAUAGGAACGCUGGUAUCAAUGCGAUGUUGGUAAUAAAGAUCAAUGCAGUCAAGUUGAAGGCGUUUCAAGCUGGCCUCGCAAGCAGCUCUCACAUAAGCAGGAUCCCCUCGAACCUCCGCAUUGCCGUCCUUAAAGCUGACGCCAAAUUUGGUUGCUAAUUCAACUCUCUCUCGGAAUCCUCCCGCCUUCAAGGCCUUGCCCAGAAGGAUUUCGUUGGUGUGGGGUCCAUAGACAUCAGAGGUGUCGAGUAAAGUGACCCCGGUGUUGACCGCAUGGUGGAUGAGGGCGAUCAUGUCCGAUUCAGGCUUUGGAGGGCCGUAGAAGGCAGACAUGCCCAU
rnacentral:lncRNA from 1 species